rnacentral:lncRNA from 1 species
UUUGAGUCAUAUUAUGUAAUAAUCAAAAUACUGGAAAUUGGUUUCUAACCGCCAUCAUAACCUAUUUCAAAAUGUAAUGCCAAUCACACAUCUUUCCUUAACUAAGUAUUAUAAGUUUUAAUUUUAAUUUUUUCUUUUGGAAUUUCUUUUGGUUAUGUCUCCAAUUAACUUACAUUCAAAAAUCGAAACCACGAAUCUGAAUUAUUAAUAGAGUUUCUCUAAUUAUAUAAUCAAGAAUAUAUUUUUGAGACCUAACCAAUUUGUCCAAACCAAAAUUUACAACAUCAUCACAGCCCUCAACAAUGGUUACACCAUGAAGACAUCAACUAGAACAAUCAUCAUCCAAAUAAGUUUACAAAUCAUUAACAAACUCAAUAAAAUCAUAAGAAACAAAACAUAGAACUAAAGAGUCAAAACCGAGUCGGGUUAAAAUGAAACCAAGUCGAUUCAAUUCGGAAAGCAUUCGGCGAAGACAAAUUCAAAUUAAGCUCAAACUGAAAUUGACGGAACAACACGAGAACAAUCAGAACCGAACCGGAGUUGAAUUCGGAACUCACAUAUGAUGUUGUCCCACACGUAUAACUCUGAUCAAUGCACCGACCACCACGUCUCUCCGCGAUACCCGCAACACUAACAACGGAUUCAUGCGUAAACCGCCGGAAUCGAGUUCACAGCCACACCCAUCCACUAAACGAUGCACCCUCAUUCCGACCAGAUCCAUCGACAUAUCUUCCGCCGAAAAACCACGAAUUAGUAACUACCAACCACCAUCGCACCACUGGUGAAUCGAUCGCCAUCGUCGGACUCCUCCGCAAUCUCCGUCGUUUGUUUCAGAUCUGUUACACUUUUAUCAAUCCACUCUUUCUUUCCAUUUAAAAAUUGUUGCUCUUCGUGAGUGAUAUUGGUAUGAUAUAUUGAUUUUAUUUGAGAUUGUUUGAGGAGAAAGCUUGAAUUUGGGAAAAUUGGAGUUUUGAAGUUUCUUCAUUCUGGGUGUAGUUACUGGAAGUGAAAAAAAGAUAAAGAGAAUUUUAUUCUCUUUCUUUAUGCAUCACCGUGGAAAGAGAGAGAAGAGUAUAUAUCCGGUUAUCAUUUGACUAAAAUACUAAUUCAUUAUGUUUUAUGUUUUUAUUUUUUAUUUUUAAUAUAUGCCACAUGUCGCGAUGGGGUUGGGCGGUCAAGAAGUCAAUGAGGAGCACUCUUUUAAUGUCCAGCAUUCUUUUUCUUUGUUGCUUCACGUUUGUUCUUUUCUUUUCUUUUACUUUAAAGACAUUAGUUUGGGUUUAAUUACCAUAAAAUACAAAAAUAAAAUUAAUUGAUGAAUAUCAUUUAAUUGAGUAGGAUUUUUUAGGAUAGUAUUUAAGGUUAAUUUUAGGACAUCAUUAGAGUUUUAAUUGAUUCAAUUAAAAUAAUGAAUAAUUAUUUAGUUAUUUCAUUUAGGGUUUAAGAUUUAAAAUUGAAUACCAAAAUUUAGGAUUUUUUAUAGUAGUUAUAAUAGUCAUAUUUUUAUUAGGGAUAAAUACCAUUCACAUUAGGGUUAAUUAAAUCAAGAAACAUGGGAUAGAAUUAUGGAUAAUGUUUAGGGUUUUAGGGGAUAUAAAAAUGGGAUAAAAUCUCGAUAGGGGAUACAUCUUAUUACAUCUAACUUAAUUUAUUUUUAUUAAUUAAAUUAAAUUAUAUUUAUAAAUUUAAUAGGAUAAGAAUGUGGGAUUCAAUGCGGGAUAAAAUUCUCUUGUUGUUAAGGGUUAAAUCAGAGAUAAAAUCAGGAUAAAGAAUUAUGUAUAAUGAAAUAUGGGAUAAAAAAUGUGGGAUAAUUUUGGGAUAUGAAUUUGGAAUAAAUAAUGUGAGAUAACUUUGGGAUAAAAUUAUGAGAUAAAUUUCUAGGAUUUUAGAGAUAAAAAAAUAUGGGAUAAGGAAUAUCUUAUUAACCUUUUAAUAUUUUUAUUAAUUGAAUAUAUAAUAUCAUUAUUAAUUAAAGAAUAAUAAUUAGAACACGAUGGGAUAUAAUUAGGGAUAUUUUAUGGGAUAAUCAUGGGAUAACUUUGGGAUAAUAUGGGAUAGAAUUCUAUGACAAAUUCUAAGGGUUUUAAAGGGAUAAAAAUUGGGGUACGGGAUAUAUUAUCUAAGGGAUACAUUAUUUAUUUUCUUAAAUCAACUAGAUGUUAUAUUUUUGAAUUAAAUAUUUUGGAUAAAAUUGAUCUCAACACACUUCAAAUUAUAAGUCCUCUACCUUGAGGUAUUGAGGCAUUUUAAAAAUCAAUCAUUUCUCCGCUCCCGAUGCGUGAGAGUAUUCAAGGGAUAAAAACGACAAAACAAACAAUUAUUUUCUAGAAGAACUACGGUACUCUGAUCCCUCGCCUAAUGCGGAGGUACGUAGGCAUAGAGUUGUAAACUCUAGCGAGUACAAUCAUAAAAAAAACCUUUUUGGGUCCCUCAUCCGUUUAAAUAGAAUAUUUUCUGUAAAUAUAAUAAAUAAUUAAUAGUUAAUUAGUAAUCAAGCAAACACCUUAGAAACAUACACUGACCCUAGAAUUGUAGGAGGAUCCCAUUGAGUACAAUGGAGGUAAGGGGUGCCUAACACCUUCCCCUUACUUAAACCGACUCCCGAACCUAGUCUUUCACCCUUAACUAUUAGGUUUUAUCAUUAUUUCCCUGUUCCUUAGGAACGAAUAAAGGAUGGUGGCGACUCUGUCAUUUUUCCAGCCGCGACAGCUGGCGACUCUGCUGGGGAGUUCUUAUACUUUCCCUAAAGAGAGUCCAUCCUAACCUUGGGUUUUAGGGUUGUGCUUGUUUCUAUGUGUAUUUGCUUUCCUUUAUUUAUGUUUAUUUAUUUAUUUAUUCACUUUAUUCUUUAUUAUAUUAUUAUGCAUGUCAUAUCAUAUUGAUUGGGAUUUUCAAAGGUGUGAAGUCAAAACCCAGGCUUGAGAAAAAAUAUAAGCUUAAGUAAGGGGUCGUCUUGUCUCGGCCACCGGGGUUUUCAUCCUGUGGGGUCUUUGAUGACGAUUCCGCCCAGAAUAGACCAAUUCAAAAGGGUUGUCAUGAGAAGGCCAGCACUUCUUCGUGAUAAAACUUUGAGUUCGGUCCAUGACUCUGGGGACCUCUUCUAGAACCCUCUUAACUUAGGGUGACCUUAUGUUAUCAACCUGCAAAGGUCAUUACUAAGGUCCCGCCUAGACGAGACUUAUCCCGAAGGAUUACCGUAGGAAGGCUUGCUCCUUCUCAUGGUAAAACAAGGGUAUAAUCCAUGACCCUAGGACUAUUAUCUUACCCAAAGCUUUAUAUCCUACAAGUGAGGGGAUUGCCAUCAGAUUCGGAUCUAGACUGUAUAGUAUUCCUUAGAUGGGAUAACUAGGUCAUGCUUGCAUAUUAUCUUACAUAUCCCGAAACUGUUUGGGUUUCCCAUGCCAACUAUUAUCCCUAUCUAUAAGGAACCUUCUUAAACAAGGUGUCCUUAUAUUCUACAUUAUCCUUAAACCCAUAUGUGGGUUCUAUAUCCAUCACAAUCUCUAAACCCGUGUGGGUUCUUCUAUCUGUCACUGUCCUAAUGGGAUAGUUGCAUUGCAUCUUAAAAAAAAAACUUUUAGCAUCCCUUCAAAUUAAAAAAUUAAAAAAUAUUUUUGCAUACCCACGCAUUUUCGUGCAUUUGCAUACAUACAUAUACAUUUGCAUACAUAUAUAUACAUUUGCAUACAUACAUAUACAUUUGCAUAUCCUUUCCACUUUCUCCCCUAUCCAGCUAGCAAGUCUCCUGAUGCUCGCAAAUGAACUUGCCACAUGUCUCAAGAAGAGAAAGUACCAUUUAAGAGAGAAGGUAACCCUUUUCCUUGCAAGCCACCGACCUAUCCAAUGCUUUAAAUACAACGAACCUGGAUGAUGUACAAAUGAACUUGCCACAUGUCUCAAGAAGAGAAAGUACCAUUUAAGAGAGAAGGUAACCCUUUUCCUUGCAAGCCACCGACCUAUCCAAUGCUUUAAAUACAACGAACCUGGAUGAUGUCACCGUAAUAAGGUCUGCAACGAUAUCUUCUUCGGCUACAACCCUAUGCGCCUCAUUAAUCACAACAAAGGAAGCUUGGAAGGAAAUUGGAUCCUAUACUAACGUCUCAUGACUUAAUUAGAGGUGCCCUAGUAGGACUACAACUGAUUGAUCUCUGUCCUGGUCUAUACCCUAGAAGUCAUGGCGAGAAUGGCCGAUGUAAGCACAAAGUACAAGACCUACAAUUGACUUUCAAAAAAGGAGUCCCAUUGAUGAAUGGUCACCCUUACUUUAACAAUGUGCAAGGACGUCAAGAAAAGCAUCCCCUAAAGAUAAUGGAUCAACAAUGAAGCUCAUCCUUGGGAUCAAAAGACUUUAUCAGUUCCAGUUGUAAUUUCUUUUUUGCUAAGUGGUUUUUGUAUUAAAAGUUGUACUCUUUGGGAAAUAAUUUUAGUAAAAUGAGCAUGCAUGUUUUUGAAAUCAAUUCAUUCGUUUACACUCUCUUUCUUAUGCCAUCAUGAAAAUAAAAAUAAAAAUCAAUCAAACCUUUUAUUUUCACUUCUCACCUAUUAACAAACUUAUGAGGAGAAUGAAAUAAAAUAACUAAAUUUUGAGGGGUCUUUGAUGACGAUUCCGCCCAGAAUAGAUCAAUUCAAAAGGGUUGUCAUGAGAAGGCCAGCACUUCUUCAUGAUAAAACUUUGAGUUCGGUCCAUGACUCUGGGGACCUCUUCUAGAACCCUUUUAACUUAGGGUGACCUUAUGUUAUCAACCUGCAAAGGUUGUUACUAGGUCCCUCCUAGACGAGACUUAUCCCAAAGGCUUACCGUAGGAAGGCUUGCUCUUUCUCAUGGUAAAACAAGGGUAUAAUCAAUUACUCUAGAGCUAUCAUCCUACAAAAACUUUAUAUCCUACAAGUGAGGGGAUUGGGUAGUCUAAGCCUAAAUCUGAUAUAUCAUAAGGAGUCUACCCUUAACUAGGUCAUGCUUGCAUAUUAUCUUACAUGUCUCAAAACUGUUUGGGUUUCCCAUGCCAACUAUUAUCCCUAUCUAUAAGGAACCUUCUUAAACAAGGUGUCCUUAUAUUCGACAUUAUCCUUAAACCCAUAUGUGGGUUCUAUAUCCAUCAUAAUCCCUAAACCUGUGUGGGUUCUCCUAUCAUUCAUUAUCCUAAUGUGACACUUGCAUUGAAUCUAAAAGAAAACCUUUUAGCAUACCUUCAAAGUAAAAAAUAAAAAAUAUUUUUGGAUACCCAUGCAUUUUUGUGCAUUUGCAUACAUACAUAUACAUUUGCAUAUCCUUUCCGCUUUCUCCCCUAUCCAGCUAGCAAGUCUCCCGAUGCUCGCAAAUGAACUUGCCACAUGUCUCAAGAAGUCUUUCAUGGUAAAUUCAGAGAAGGUAACCCUUUUCCUUGCAAGCCACCGACCUAUCCAAUGCUUUAAAUACAACGAACCUGGAUGAUGUCACCGUAACAAGGUCUGCAACAAUAUCUUCUUCGGCUGCAACCCAUGCGCCUCAUUAAUCACAACAAAGGAAGCUUGGAAGGAAAUUGGAUCCUAUACUAACGUCUCAUGACUUAAUUAGAGAUGCCCUAGUAGGACUACAACCGAAUGAUCUCUCUCCUCGUCUAUACCCUAAAGGUCAUUGCGAGAAUGCCAGAUGUGAGCACAAAGUACAAAACCUACAAUUGACUUUCAAAGAAGGAGUCCCAUUGGUGAACGAUCACCCUUACUUUAACAAAGUGCAAGAACAUUAAAAAGCAUCCCCUAAAGAUAGUGGAUCAACAAUGAAGCUCAUCCCUGGGAUCAAAAGACUCUAUCAGUUCCAGUUGUAAUUUCUUUUUUGCUAAGUGGUUUUUGUAUUAAAAGUUGUACUCUUUGGAAAAUAAUUUUAGUAAAAUGAGCAUGCAUGUUUUUGAAAUCAAUCCAUUCAUUUACACUCUUUCUUAUGCCAUCAUGAAAAUAAAAAUAAAAAUCAAUCAAACCUUUUAUUUUCACUUCUCACCUAUUAACAAACUUAUGAGGAGAAUGAAAUAAAAUAACUAAAUUUUGCUGACUAUGCUUUUAAUAGUAAGACCUGGCUGACGAUGUAAGGCAUUGUUUCACUUCCCAAACACUGGAGAAAUAAGGAGAUAAUCCGUAGUCAACCCCCUCGAGCCAGAAGUUGGUGUUUCUUUUUCUAUUCAUAAAAACCCUUAAUAUUAACCAGGGGCAGGGUAGUUUCAAUUAAGUCAAUGAUGCAUUCUAGUCUCAAGAGAACUAUUCCAUAAUCACAUCAGUAAGAGGUUUAAGCAACAUCUUCCUUACACCAUUCAACAUUGAGGAAGCAAUGAGGACAAAGCUCACAAUAGCCACAAGGCAGUCACAACUUUCGAAAUAUCAAAAAAAAAAGAACACAUGAAUUAUUCCGAAAAGAGCCCGCUAAGUCAAAAACUAAAACAGAGUUGACUUAGGCAAAAGGGGCAUCCCGAUGGACCACAAUUCAAAAGAAUUGGUCUGUGCAAAAAUAGGGAGUAAAAAUAUAAAAAAAUAAAAAAUGGAAACAAGCUUGUAGGUGAAAGUAAGUGACUGCCACCUCAAGAAUCUCAUAAGUACUUGAAUCAUUACAUCUACUUCCAUCAUUAUCUAUCAAAAUUCUCUUGCAGAUUAAAUGCAUUUGUUGAAUUAAUUGGAUUUAGGAAUGAAGAUCAUCAAGGAGAAGGGGUGGGUCUUAAUAAAAAUUUGAGCCUUAUAUCUUUUGUUUCAUAAACCGUGAACCAAGCCACGUUAUAACAUUUAAAAGAACCAGGGGCAGGGUAGUUUCAAUUAAGUCAAUGAUGCAUUCUAGUCUCAAGAGAACUAUUCCAUAAUCACAUCAGUAAGAGGUUCAAGCAACAUCUUCCUUACACCAUUCAACAUCGAGGAAGCAAUGAGGACAAAGCUAGGAAUAGCUAACAUGGCAGUCACAACCUUCAAAAUCAAAAGUAAAUAUCACAAGAUUUGUUUCAAAAAAGAAGCCCACUAAGUCAAAAAGAAAACCUAAAAAUUUGACUUAGGCAAAAGUUAGGGCAUCAUGUUUAAAAAAAAGCCCGCUAAGUCAAAAACCAAAACGGAGUUGACUUAGGCAAAAGUUAAGGCAUCCCGAUGGACCAGAAUUCAAAAGAAUUGGUCCAUGCAAAAAUAGGGAUUAAAAAGCAAAAAAAACGGAAAAAAGCUUGUAAGUGAAAGUAAGUGACUGCCACCUCAAGAAUCUUAUCAGUACUUGAAUCAUUACAUCUACCUCCAUCAUUGUCUAUCAAAAUUCUCUUGCAGACUAAAUGCAUUUGUUGAAUUAAUUGGAUUUAGGAAUGAAGAUCAUCAAGGAGAAGGGGUGGGAUAAAAUUAAAAUUUGAGCCUUAUAUCUUUUGUUUCAUAAACCCUGAACCAGGCCACGUUAUAACAUUUAAAAGUCCUAAUUGAAGCUAGGUUCACUAUGAAAGCAUACUCAGCAAAAUCGUUAAACUAACUCCAAAUGUUUGUUAAAUCAUUGAUAACCAUCUUGUUUUAUCAUAUUUUCACAUCUUCAUUUGUGCCAACCUCGUGGCCAGAUAUCAUUUGUAUACACCAUAUCCAUUUUCCAUAACAAUUUUCGAUUUCAGAAACUCGCAUGAGCAUGAUGUUAGAAUUACUUUUCAAAGAGAACAUUUUUCUCACAAAUCAAUACUUAGCAUCAAGGAAAUUUCAGCAAUAGUCUGAUCAAAGGCGAAUAGUUUCAAGACACUAGAGGCAAGUCAUCUAAGGAUCCUUCUAAUUAGGAGAAAAUCCUUAUAAUCAUAGGGGCACAUCAUCUGAAGAUCCUAUUGAUUAGAGGAUAAACCUUUCAAUAUUUGAUACACCUAUGUCAAAACACCCACAUGACCUUAAUAAUCAUGGGAAGACUCUUUCAAGACUCUCAUACUGGGGCAUACCAACUCAGGGGCAUAUUGAGGCCAAUCACUCCAAAAAGUCAUCCAAUCUGGGGCAUACUUUUCAAAGAUUCAAAUACUGGGGCAAUUCAUAUAAAGGUCAUAUCACAGCAUUGUGAGAUCCAAGUUCCUUCUCAGGACACUCCUCCAGACCCUAAUAAUCAGGGACAAACUUUUCAAGAUUUAAAUGUCGGGGUAGUUCAUAUCAAAGUCAUACCAUAGCAUGGUGGGAUCCAAUUUCCUUUUUAGGAAACUCUUUCAAGAAGGCCUACAAAUAAGGGCAAUACCCUCCAAGGCUCAAUCAAUAUGGGACAGACCGCCGCAAGGCUUAAUCAAAAGAAACUGCUCCACAUGGUGGGAUCCAAUUUCCUUUUUAGGAAACUCUUUCAAGAAGGCCUACAAAUAAGGGCAAUACCCUCCAAGGCUCAAUCAAUAUGGGACAGACCGCCGCAAGGCUUAAUCAAAAGAAACUGCUCCAAAAAAUGGUUCAUCAGGGGCAUAUCAUUCUAAGGGUCGAUUAGUCAAAGACGGAUCUCUCCAAGGCUAAAAUUACGGCAUGACGUCUCAAGUGAAUGGUAUGGCUAAGUCACUUCAAAUUCAUAUUGACAUGAAUUUCUUCAAAGACCUAACAGACAGGGGCAACUAUGGGAUACUGCAGGGACAAUCCCUCUCAAUACUUUCAAGAUGCAUGUACAACAUCUAUCAUAGAUCAACAAUCGUCAAGUUUCAAACGGGUAUCGGGAAGCCAUGCUAGCGUAACACCCUACCACCUUUUGACAAAAUAACUUGGUUACACAAAAAACCUCUCUAAUCCCUAACAAUCCACGACCCAUCACAGGGGCACUUGUGGAAACAUUCAAAUCAUUGUCAUGCAUUAAUCAUGUCACUACGCUCUAGCGUCAAACCAUUCAUAUCAUCUCAUUCAUAUAGCACAUUCCCAUAUCAUGAACCUAACAUCUACGCAUGCCCAAUCUUACUUGGCACCACACAAAAGCCUAAUCUUACUUGGCACCUAUAUCAUAAAAGCCCAACCUCAUUUGACAUUCACCCUAAAAGCCCAACUUUGAUUGGCAUCUCACAAAAGCCCAACCUUGCUUGGCACUCAGUACCUAUAAUUGGCCCAAUCUUCAGCGGUGCAGCCCGAGACUAAUACAUCAUGUGCAUCAAUCAUUGCAUUAAUACAUCAUAUCACGCGUAGCAUAUCCAUUAAUGUGGAUCAUUAUACCAUGCAAACACUAAACAUGCAUAAAUGACACAGCAUAGCAUGCAUACAUAACAUAGAUACAUAACACAGACUGAGACUCAAGACUCAUCGUGAGAGUAUGGAUAUCCUCAGCUAAUCGGUGAUAGAUCUCAGUCCAAGCUUCUCUCGAGCUAUUUUUUCAUUGUACACCCAGUGGGUUGGUCUUAAGGAUAAUCCCGCAGUAAGUAUCCUUGGAGCUCAUUUUCCAAGCAGAAAAUACUUAGCAGCAUUGUCCCCAGUAUGCCCUAAUGGUAUACAAUUCCUUCACCAGAUCCUUGCAGGGAUUUCUUAGGGAUUUCUCCAACACCUGCGCUCCUUAGGGAACCUCGCCUGGAAGCAUAUUCCCUAGUAGACAGUUAUCUUACGUGACACCAGUCUUCCCCAUUAGGGACAUUGAGUUCUUUUGUCAAUCUACUUUUAUUCACGUCUUCUUAGAGAACUCCUCAAUAAGAGUUCUAUUACCAUUGUCACUUUGGUUCUUACACCACUGUUCACUUUGGUUCUUACACUAUUUCCACUCAGUCACUUCGGCUCUUACACCGUUGUCACGUACUCACUUUGGUUUUUACGUCGUUUUCAUCCACUCAUUUUGGUUUUUACACUGUUUAUCAAUUCAUUUGUACGGUUUCUUAUACCGUUUGUCAUUUCUGAUUACGGUUCUUCUACCGUUGUUACUUCUUUUAGUUCUUAUACCACUAUCACUACUCUCGGGGUUUUACAACAAUGAUAAUUUAUUUAGCAUUGGUUCUUAUAUCGAGGAUGAUUGAAUUCUCAAUCCCCAACUAUACAAGUAUAACUCCAAGCAAGAAUGCUUAUUGGGCUUCCCCAAUAAGUAACCAUCUCCAUAGAGCCUUUUCAAUAAAGGACUUUCCUAACAAACUCACUCACCGUGAGUCGUCAAAGAAAUCUAUCUAGUAAUCGAUCAUCCUGAAUGAUCGUUAUCAACUAUUGAGCGGGUAUUCACCUCUUACCUCUCAAGCUUAUUAACCUAUCCCACACAAGGGAUAUGUUCCAUCAAAUGCACCAGGGUUUUAUCAAAGGGUUACACCGGGGUUUUUCAAGGGGUUCCACCAAGGGUUUCAUCAAAGAGUUUUUACCAGGAGUUCCAUUAGGGGUUUCAUCAAAAGUAUAAAGGAUUUUCAUCAAUGGGUUCUAUCAAGGGAUUUUAUCAAAGGAGUUUUAUCAAAGAGGUUCAAUCAAGGGGUUUUCAUCAGAGAUUAUUCGCCGAGGGUUCACUAGGGUUUUACCAAGAAGUUUCAACAAAGUGUUAAUAUCAAAGGGGUUUCAUCAUGGAUUUAUCAAAGGGGUUUCACCAGAAUUUUUUAUCAAAGGGUGCCGCCAGAAUUUUAUCAAGGGAUUUUAUCAAAAGGAUUUUUUCAAGGGACUUUAUCAAAAGGGUUUAUCAGGAAUGUCAUCAAAAGAUUCCAUCAAGGGGUUCUUCCAGAAUUUUACCAAGGGGUUUCAUCCAGAGUGAUCGGGGUAUCAGUAGAGUACUACCCAAUUCCCGUAAAAUGAUCGGAUGAUCAUGGGAAUCAUAUGCCAGUUUCACCUGGAAGGGUUAAGAUUGAUCAAAAAGGGUUUCAUCAAAGGUAUUAAGGGUUUCAUCAUGGUUUUAUAAANCCUUACUUAACUGACUCCCGAACCCAGUAUCUCACCUUUAACUUAUAGGUUUUAUCAUUAUUUCCCUGUUCCUUAGGAACGAAUAAAGGAUGGUGGCGACUCUGUCAUUUUUCCAGCCGCAACAAAAGGUAAAUUCGGGCCCUUAUGGGGUCCGACCCGGAAAUUACAAAAACUGGCUCAAACUAACUCUUUUAAUUAAGUCUAAAACUUCAACGAAUUAUUCGAUCCUCCUUCACUUCGAAUCAUAUUUUGACUUCAACAUGAAACGUGUAUCUCUUUCUCUUAGAUUUCCAACGCAUAUUAGAACGCAUCAAUCUGAUUCUCGUAGGUUAAGUUAUGGUCUGUAUAGUAACAAGGUAUCAAAUAACUGUUUAUGCUGAAAAUAAAGUAGGAAAAUAAAAUAAAAGCAAAAAUAAACUUAAAUAUAAAAACACACUAAAAUAGUAAAAAUAAUAGAAUAAACUAUAGAAAUGUCUAAGUACAAUUAUAGAAGAAUGUGCAUCAAAAUGCACUGAUCAAAUCCCCCCACACUUGAACUUUUGCACUCCGAGCAAAAUUACAAUUUUAAAACAAAAGGAAAGAAAACAGAGCAUGCACUUCCAAAAGUUUUCAAGAUAUAAGGUACAAGCAGAAUUCUAAGUCUAAGCUUCAAGAAUAUGGUAUUAGUAAGCAAUUUUUUGUGACAUUCAAAGCAGAUAGGAAAACAGAUUAUCAAAGAGUACAUCAAUAGCAGUAAGAUCCUUACAGAAUAAAAUUCACUCAACUCUCAAGUGUUUAGAUUAAUUGUUUACACUCAAAGCACAACAUGAAAGUUAGUACUACCAUAAGCUUGAAAAAACUCUAACAUCCACAAUUGAAAUACGUGCACACAAAGAUCAAAAGGACUUUUAUUUGGUUGUAAUGUGGCCAAGGUAAGGGUGAGAUAAAUCCUAAGGGGUACUAGGCUAAAAUUCAAAGAGACAAAAGAGACUUAAAAGAAACUGCGGGAGUUGAAUUUAUAAAAUAUUUGAUUCACUUCAACAACUCUAUAGUAACUGUUUUCAAUCAUAUUUUUCUUCUCCUUUCUUUUUCUUUUUUUUUUCUUUUCUUUUCAUAAGGAGUAUGUAUUGACAUGUAUACAUCCUUCUAUUUUUUUUCAUUCAUUUUUUUUUUCUUUUCUAUUUUCUUUUUCUACCAAAAUUACGAAUAUUACAAACAUAAUUAUUCGACCCCACGCAACUCCAAACAAGACUCUUUCAACCCUUUAAAUAAGGUGAUAACAUUGUUUUUCACUUCUCGAUUUGUAACGAGUUUUAAACAAAAAAAGGAUAAUAGGCUCAAGGGGGUUUCAAACAAGGGAUGAUAUUAUUUCAGGGUUGGAUUUUUGAAUAACUGGCUAAAAAACAAAAAAUAAAAUUGUCUUUAUCAUAUUAGUGUGCACAAGUUAACAACAACAUCAACAAGAGUCAAUUCAAGUUCUAGAGACUAAUAAACAUGAGUAAAUCACACAAGAAAGAAAGAGAUGGAUUUUUGUAUGUUAUCCAUAGAAAGCUCAAAACCUCACAAGGUUAAUUGAUCUACCACAAAUGAUGUACGCUUUAGAAUUUAGUCCUACCUAUCAUACUAAAAAUGCACAACCAAAUCUUUCACAUCACAUCAUAAUACUUUAGUCAAAAGAAUAAGAAAAAUACUCAUAAUUGUAACUCAAAAACCAAGGAAAAAGCAUGAUUUUUUUUUAUUUAGCAACUAAAAACCAAAAACAGAGAAAAAAUGAAAAACAAAAUAAACAAAACAAAACAAAUAAAUGGUUCGCUCCCCCAUACUUAAAACAUACAUUGUCAUCAAUGAAAGACCAUAAAUAUAAAAUAAGAACGGGAGAAAGAAAAGAGCACACCUGAGGAGUCAAAGCGGAUAAAUGAUCACAUAAGCAGCCUUUCCCAAAGAGAGCUCUUCUACAGCCUUUUCUUCCAAAGUCGAGUUCUCAUGGAGUAGAUUUGGAUAGUGUCCAUUGAUCUUGAAAUUUUGAUUAGUGUAAUCGCUUUGUAUUCUAGGAUCAAAGAAGAAUCUUCUAUAAGUAAAAGUGUUGAAUGGGCACAUGAAAGUGAUCUUCUUUUUCACAACAUCAAGAAUCAAAGGAUUACGGGGCUGCCUCACUACUUUUAUUUCAUCUUUAAGUGAGAUCUUAUACAUACAUAUGGAUGGGCUAAUAUCACGAGUGUCAGCCAAGGUCCAUCCAAUUCCCUUCUUAUGUUUCUGCUUAAGUUGAAGCUUUGAUGAAUAAUAUGAAUCCUCGGGAAGUGGUUUAGGCUCUAAAGAAGGCGAUUGUUUAAUGGAUGGUAUGUUUGGGGCAGCCAGGAUGUCGAGAGCUUCAACUGCAUAAACAACUUCAUCGAUAAACUCACCUGUAGGAAAAAAUGUUACCCUGCAAGGCAGCAUCAAUCUCAGCACAUACAACACAAAGGUUAGUGUCAGUACAAUCAUCACAUGAAUAAACAUCAUCAAACCCAGAUAGAGAUGGAAAAUCAAGUGAAAACAAUUCUGAAAAAGUGUCAUCAACCAACUCAGAGAUCAAUUCAAUAUGAAAAAUGGAAUGCUCCUCCAAGGGAUAUUUCAUGGCAUCGAAAAUGUUAAAUUUCGCGACAAUGUCACCAAAUUCCAUGGACAUGGUUCCAUCUUCAACAUCAAUUUUUGUUUUCGCCGUUUUCAUGAACGGUCUGCCAAAAAUUAUGGGCGAUUUGCUUGAAUUUGUUUCUCCAUACAUGUCCAGAAUAUAAAAAUAUGCAGGAAAAAUCGAGUCAUUAACUUGAACAAGCACAUCUUCCACUACUCCAAUAGGGCGAGCAUUGCUUCUGUUCGCCAGUUGAAUGAUUAAACUUGUAUGCUGCAAAGGACCAAGAGCAAGGUUAUUAUAAACAGAAGUAGGCAUAACAUUAAUGUCUGCUCCUAAAUCAAGCAUUCAAUUUUCGAAUUUACUAUCCCCAAUGGUACAAGGAAUAGCAAAAGUUCCUGGAUUCUUGCACUUUUGUGGCAUGUCCUGAGUGAGGGUUGAACUGGUAAGUGAAGUGUUGGGUUGAAUAAGCGCCGAAACAUUUGUCCCAAAUUCGCUCUCUCAUUUUCGGUAGGCCUCCUCUUGUGAGUGUACAAGUCCUUCAAAAUUUUUUCAUAUUUCGGGACCUUCUUAAUCACAUCAAGUAGUGGAAUGUUCACUGCCACCUUUCUGAAUACAUCCAAAAUCUCUCUCUUUUUGUCUUCCUCAUCAAUAUUCUUAUUUUUCAUAACUCUUCGUGGAAAAAGGAUUGGUGGUACAUACUCUUUUUCAGCCUCAACAACAAUAGAAGGUUCAGAUGUUGCACUAACAAUUUUUUUAUUUUUUUCUAGGGCUGUUUCUGCAACUUUUCCGGAUCUCAAGGAAAUUGAACUCACAUUGGGAACUUUUGGAUUCACUAUUGUUUGGGCAGGUAGUUGGUUCGAUCCUUAGGCUUGCUGCAUGGCAUUCAUUGAAGUGGGAAGCUGUUCAAUCUGUGUCUGGAAUGUCUGAAUAUGGGAAUUUGUUUGUUGCUGAAAUUAGAGAUUGUUCACAGCCAUUUGCUUGACAAGAUCCUCAAGUGAAGGUCUGAAAGGUAUAAAGGUGGUUACUUGGGGAGGGUUGUAGUAGUGGUGGCAGGGGUAUCAUCAAUUGUUUCACUAAAAAGGUAAGUUCAUCAAGUCUGGUUUCUAGAGCUUUGUUGGAAGAAUAAAUCUGAAUCUCAUUCACACCUUUUGCUUUGACCAUAAAAUUGUCCCUUGUUGUGAAAUGUUGGGAGUUGAGUGACAUGUUCUCAACCAAGGAUUUGACAGUAGCUGGAGUCUUAUCAACAAGUGCUCCACCACUAGCAGCAUCUAAAAUGUUUCUUUCCAUUGAUAGUAAUCCCUCAUAAAAGUGUUGUAUUAACAAUUGUUCAGAAAUCUGGUGGUGAGGACAACUCGACACUAACGACUUGAAUCUCUCCCAGUAUUCGGCCAAUGAUUCCAUGUCAACGUGACUAGUACUAAAUAUUUCUUUUCUGAUAGAAGAAGCUCUUGAAGCAGGGAAAAUCUUUCUAAGAAUAUUUUCUUCAUAUUAUUCCAACUUGUAAUAGAAUUUGGCUCAAGAUAAUAUAACCAAUCUUUUGCAGCACCUUGUAGUGAGAAUGGAAAUGCUCUAAGCUUGACAUGAUCUUCGGUAAUUCCUUGAGGCCUCAAUGGUGUAGAACACACAACCUGAAAUUCUUUUAGAUGCCUAUGUGGAUCCUCUCCUGCAAGACCACUAAACCUUGGCAACAAGUGUAUUAAACCAAAUUUCAAUUCGAAAGGUACAUUAGCAACAGGAUAUUCAAUACAUAAAGCAUUAUAAUUAACAUCAAGGGUAACAAGUUCUCUCAUAGUUCUUUGGUCAGCCAUGUUAAACUCGAUAGAAAAAAAAUCAACAAACAAUAAGAAAACACUAACUAAUUCAGCAAUGCAACAACAAAUAGGAAAAUACCGACAAUGUCCCUAUUAAGAAAAAAACAAUUGAAAUACGGAAAAAACUAUUAAAAUAAAAAGAAAAAAAUACAAAAAUACAAAAAUUAAUCUAAUAACAUCAAUUAAGAAUUUUGAGAAUUUUUUAGGAAUUUUCUGAAACUACCAAAACAGAAACAAAAUCAUAAAAAAUAGAAAAAUAAGGAAUUUCGGUUUCUUAGGGCGGCGUCCACUAUUUAGUUCCUAAGUAGAGGUUUUAGAUCCUUGAUUUUUUCCUAAUGAAUAGACAAAAAAUAUGAAUAAUUUGAGACGAUUUUUUUUAAAAACAAAUUUUUUAUCCUAAAACGCGAAAAGAUCAGAACGCAAGAAAGUUAGGGAAAAAAUGAUAAAACACAACACCUAUGACUAUAAUAAUGGUUAGACUAUAAUAAUGGUUAAAAUCUACAAGAGUCCCUGGCAACGGCGCCAAUUUGAUCCGCUGUUUGACACGGGUCAAAAAUGAGUAAUAAAAUAUAAUAAACGGGAAGCAAAACCUCGAGUAUCGUAUCACAUGGACUUUUGGAAAAUUAACCAAAUAAGAAAACAAAAUAGGGGAUUUCGAUUCGAUUAAAAAUAAGUGAUUAUAAAAUGUGAUUAUAGAAAGUGAUUAUAAAAAGUGAUUAUGAAAUAAGUCGAUCUACUGGUUUGGUUUCCUAACUUAUCAUUGGUUAAUAUAAUUUCCAUGCCCUCAGCAGAUUCUAAUCCCUUUUCGAUUAUAGUAACAAUAACAAGCGCAUUGAUACUAAUAUAUGAUAUGUGUUCCUAAUUUCUGAAUUAAGCAAACAAAUUCUGAAUUAAGCAAACAGGUUAAGCACACACGAAUUAAGCAAACACGAUUAUGGAACAUAUAUCAAUCAAAAUUAAUCAACACAUACUAUAUAGAGCUUGAACAAAGCAUACAAGACAUAGAAUAAAAUAUUGAAAGGGAAAAGACAUUUGAUUGAAAAUUAAGAAACCUCAAAGUAUCGGCGGAAACCGAUUACAACAGAUCAACCUUGUGAAUUUUAGUUCUCCAUGAAAUAUUCUAAGCAAUAUUGCAUCAUCAAAAUUCAGAAUAUGAUUACUAUAGUAGUGAAAGACCUAAUAUAAUAAAAGGUAAAUUUGGGGGUCUUAUGGGGUCCGACCCGAAAAUUACAAAAAUUGCUCAAACUAACUAUUUUAAUUAAGUCUGAAACUUCAACGAAUUAUUCGACCCUCCUUCACUUCUAAUAAAAUUUUGACUUCAACAUUAAACUUGUAGAUAUUUCUCUUAGCUUUCCAACACAUAUUAGAACGCAUUAAUCUUAUUCGUGUAGCUUAUGUUAUGGUUUAUAUAAUAACAAGGUAUCAAAUAACUGUUUAUGCUGAAAAUAAAGUACGAAAAUAAAAUAAAAGAAAAAAUAAACUUAAAUAUAAAAACACACUAAAAUAGUAAUAAAAAAAUAAACAAUAGAAAUGCCUAAGUAUAAUUAUAGAAGAAUGUGCAUCAAAAUGCACUGAUCACUAACACUUGACUAACUUUUGACUAACUCUUGUUAAUAUUGCUUUACUUUCAAGUCAUUUACUAUUAUGCAAUUUAAAUUUUAGUCAUUUAUCAUUCAUUGCCAUUUACAUUUCAUAUAACUUGUUUAUCUUUAUGUCCUUUUCACUUUGCUCAUUUGAGCCAUAUCUUGUGAUUGUAUAUAUUGUUUGUGUGUUUUGAUUUUGUUUGUGGUCUUAGGACCUUAAAAUACCUAAUAACAAGCCUUGAGAAUUUCUUGGGUUCAUCUGCUACUCUGUUUUUAUGCUUAAUUGUUAUUUUGAUCUUGUGUCUGAUGUAUUGUUCUAAGUUGAUCAAGGGAUAUUUCAUCUGGUACAUUGAAAGACAAUGAAGACUGCUAGCUAUUUGAAUGCUUGCUUGGAUGUGGCCCCUAAUCUUUAUGAUGUCUGGAUAUUUCUUAUUGCUUAUGCUUAUUGCUUAAUCAAAGUCCAAGCGAAAAUGAGUUUCUAUAUGACAUCAUUGUCUGUUGGAUUGCAUCCCAUUGGUCAGAUUUUUUCAACUCUUAACUUUUAAUUGUUUGCUUAGGGUAGUCUCUUCAUCUUCUCCCACUUCUUAAAUUUCAAAAUCUCUCACUCUUUUCAAAACCUUUCUUUGCUUGUGAUUUCAAACUUAUACAUGUCGUAAUGGUUAGAAACUUUGGCCUUAUGCCAUUGAAUUUUCAAACUUUUUCUUAAAUCAAAUUUGUAAAUAAACUUAACCAUAUUGACUUGAAUUUCAAAAGACAAAAAGAACUAAAAACCUCAUUCAAAUUUUUGGGCAUUUGUGCCUUUUUUUAUUAACUUUUGUUAAAAGCAAUUCACCAACUUAUUUAAAUUUUUUACCAUAAACUACGAGGUUUUGAUCCCUUUUUUUAUGUUGGUACGUAGGCACAAGGUCGAAGAUCUUGUCAAACACAAAAAUAUAAACAAUGAAUUCUUUUAUCAUCCCCCACUCUAUUUUUAUCAAACAUCUUUUAUACCAAAAACACAUGCACACAUAAAAAGGGCUCCCUAGGAGUACCUAAGACACUUUGGGUGCUAACACCUUCCCUCUAUGUAACCAACCCCUUUACCUGUAAUCUCUGGCAUUUUAUUAGUUUUGAUUUGAAAACUUCUUAUCUUUGGGUUUUGUUCAUACUUUUCCAUUUUCCUUUGGAAACAGUAAAAGCGCGGUGACGACUCUGGUUUUAUUGACGUUAAGCUUAUCCAUAGCUUGAUGGUCAUGAAUUUACCGUUAUAGAAAUUAAGUGGCGACUCUGCUGGGGAGUAAUCCUCAGUGGGUUUAGCCUAUUUUUUUAUGUGUAUAUAUGUGUAUAUUUUAUGUUUGUAUAUUGUUUGCAUGAUAUAACAUGUCUAUUGUGCUUGGUGAUCUCUGAGUGGUGAGAUAAGUUCUAACUCGAACUUGAGUGCAAUUAAGACUGGAGGAUGGUAUAAUCAUGUUCAACUUGUAUGGAGUAGUCCUUAACAAGUUGGCUUGAGACCCAUUUACUCAGUGGAAACCCUUUUGGAGUUAUUGAUGUCACACAACUCAUUUAUGGAUAGGCAUUAUUUUCUCUAAUUUGGGGUCCGAGAAGCUGAGGACCGUAGAACAUUUAACCCAACUUGGCCUAUUUAGGAUGUAGUGUGGAGACUGUUCAAGUGUAGACUUGAUAAUAGUUGUUACGCGAUACUACACUCAGACGAGUUUCUCUUGAGAAUAUUAUGGGUUGAUAAGUCAGUCAUCCUAACCUAUAAUAUCCGAUAGAUGGGAUUAAGACUCUGGGAACUUUUUAGAACACGGUCUACAGGUUUUUAUCCUUAGUACACUCCUUUGGGAUGGUUCUUAACCUGACUUCAUGCUCGUGACUCACAACAAACCCUUUGGUUCUCGGUUGAACCGAUCAAGUCUCGUCAAUAUAAAUGGAACUUGGGUGUUGAUAAGUUGAAAACCAUAAUCCCCUAAAAUGGAUGAUUGAUCUUGAUGAUGACAUGAUCCAUCCCUUGACCUUUGUGUGUGUUUACCUUGUGUGUGAUCCCUUGUUUGUGAUUGUUGCGUUCAUGCAUACAUGCGCAUCAUGACAUUCAUCACAGAAAAGUAAAUUUCAAGGAAACUAAGGUCUCAUUUGCAAAUAUUUCCAGACUAUGGAUUAUGGACGAAGGAACACUAAGAAGUAUAGUUUCAGAUGUCCUGAUUUGAAAGAAAUAAGGAAAUUUUCAUCCUUUGUAUUAGAUCCCUUGGACUUCAAGCAACGUCAUGGGAAGCUUUUGUCAAUAUUAUCUGCUGAUGUGGUUGAGGGACUCCUGAGUGUCUUUGUCCAAUUUUAUGAUCCUAUUUACUGGUGCUUCAUGUUUCCCGAUUAUUAGCUUGUACCUAUGUUAGAGGAGUAUGCCCAUCUCCUGAGAGUACCCGCAUCUGACAAGGUACCUUUUAGUGGAUUAUAGGAGAUUGUCAGAUCUCAUAUCAUAGUUGAAGCUCUCCAUCUGAAGAAGUCUGAGAUUGAUGUUCAUUUGGUGAAGAAAGAAGGCAUUCUUGGUUUGACUUUUGAGUUCCUCAUUGGAAAAGCUAUUGUCUCUGCUCAAGCCGAUAGUAUGGAUGCUUUUUAAGCCAUCUUUGUUUUGCUCAUCUAUGGUUUAGCUUUGUUUCCUAACAUUGACGGUUUUGUUGAUGUUAACGCCAUCAGAAUCUUCUUGAUUGGGAAUCAUGUUUCUACUCUGUUGGGUGGCAUGCAUUUCUCUUUGCAUUUGAGGAAUUCUAAAGGAGGUGGGACUAUUGUGUGUUGCGUUCCUCUUCUGUACAAGUGUUUUAUUUCGCACUUGCCUCAGACACUUGCUUUUUUGGAGAACAAGCAAUGUCUACGGUGGUCUCAGAGACUUAUGUCUCUCACUAAUGAUGAUAUUGUUUGGUAUGAUUCUGCAUUGAGUAGCUUGGAUAUUAUUGAUAGUUGUGGUGAGUUCUCAGCAAUGUCUACGGUGGUCUCAGAGACUUAUGUCUCUCACUAAUGAUGAUAUUGUUUGGUAUGAUUCUGCAUUGAGUAGCUUGGAUAUUAUUGAUAGUUGUGGUGAGUUCUCUAAUGUGCCUCUCAUUAGUACACAAGGAGGAAUCAACUACAACCCAACAUUGGCCCGUCGUCAACUUGGGUUCCCCUAGAGAGAUAAACAUAAUAACACUCAGUUAGAAGGUCUGUUUUAUCAAGAAGGUAAAGAUCCCCAACAUUUGAAGUAAAGGAUGGUGCAUGCUUGGCAUAAUAUGCAUAGGAAGGGAAUAUCCGAGCUUGGUCCAUGCAAUUGUGUAGCUUUGGAAGCUUACACUAUUUGGGUGAAGAAGAGAGCUUUGGAGCUGAAGAUGUCGUAUGCUUGUGAAAGACAUAUGUCUAUGGUUAUGGAUGAGCCAUCAACUCUUCUCAACUAAGAUGCAGAGGAGUUGGAAGACGCACUCAUCAAGAUGAAGUAAUAAAAAGAUAUGUGGAAAGAGCGGUUCCAUGCUUUGAGCUGAAAGCAUGAAGAGUUGCAGCUUGAGUCGAAAGACACAGAUGUGCUUAUUGAGAUUCUUGAAGACCGAGCAAUGAAUAGAGAGAGAGAGCCAGAGGGUUCAUCUUCCUCUAGCAUGCCUCAACCUUUCGGUGCUUGGAAGAAGAUUGUUGAUCAGUUAGUUCUUGAGAAGGCUCAGAUGAAGACAUCCUUUGAGCCUGAGAUUCGACGCAUCCGAAGGAAGUAUGAACCCAUAGCCAGUCAUCCAGUACAGCUGCUAAGGGAUCCUUAGGAACACAAUUUCCUUUUCUCUUGUAUUUAUACUUUGGUUUCUGAAAUUGUACUCAGUAUGAUCCUUCCAAAUUUUAUGAAUAAAAAGAGAUUUUGUAAUCAAUCAAAUUGUUAUUAUUGUUAUAUAGGACUUCAUAUGUUCCUUGAAAUUAAAAACAAUAAAAAACAUUGCAUUUCAUGCACCAUUUGCAUAAUAGGUUUCUUCCUCCAGAUGUCUUAUCAGUUCUUCUUCUGUGCAUCAGCCAAGAUGACUCACCAAUAUAAUUCUCGCGUUAACCAACCGAAGAGAAUGGAGCAUCUAGAGAAAGAGUACCGGGAGCUGAAGGAAGAGAUCACCAGACUUACGACACUGAUGGAAUCUGUGAUUGUCGCCCAAAAUCAGUCAUCACCAACUCCUGUAACUCCUCCUCCUCCAAGGACUGUCAUUUUUGAGGUUGCUUCUGCAACUGUUCCUGUUGUUGCUGCCAAUCAAUCCAUUCCUUCUAUGCCUGCUGGAUUCCCUUGGGAAAUGCCAUCAAAUUUUAUGCCAUAAGGGUAUGCGCCCACAUUUGUUUCUCUGUCGGCAUCUAGCCCGGUCAUGUUAGUGCCACCUCUGGUUGUUCACACUCUCCCUUGUGUUGAGGACACUAUCUACCAUUCCGAGAUGUCUGAAGGUCCAAACGUGUAUGAGAAAAUGGAUGUAAUGAAAGGUCAAUUCCUCGAGCUUCACAAAGAGUUAAAGACUCUUAGAGGGAGAGAUUUGUUUGGGAAGAGUGUUGUUGAACUCUGCUUGGCCCCCAAUGUUAAGAUCUUGGUGAAAUUCAAGGUCCCAAACUUUGAAAAGUACAAAGGGAAAACUCGCCCACUAAGCCAUCUUGUUAUGUAUUCCAGAAAAAUGUCUACUCAGACUGAUAAUGAUCAGUUGCUGAUUCACUAUUUCCAAGACAGUUUAGCUAGAGCUGCCUUGAGGUGGUACAUGGGUUUGGACAAUGCAAGCAUCCGUACUUUCAAUGACUUAGGCGAGGCCUUUGUCAAGCAGUAUAAGUACAAUAUGGAUAUGGCGCCUGAUAGAGACUAGUUGAGGUCUAUGUCUCAGAAGGAUAAAGAGACAUUCAAAGAAUAUGCCCAAAGAUGGAGAGAACUGGCUGCCCAGAUAAGUCCACCUCUUGAAGAGAAGGAAAUGACAAAAAUCUUCUUAAAGACAUUGAGUUUGUUUUAUUAUGAACGUAUGAUUGCGAGUGCCCCUAAUGAUUUUACCGAAAUGGUAAACAUGGGGAUAAGGCUAGAAGAAGGAGCCCGUGAAGGACGUUUGUCUAAAGAAGAGGCAACAACCAACAAGAAGUACGGUGGUAGUUUCUCCAAGAGGAAGGAAGGAAAAGCUAAUUUAGUGUCAAUAGGGAGGCAGAGGAGGCCUCAUGUCAGAAAAAGUUCUCAACCUCGUCAACAUCAACAUCAAGUUCCCUCAGUAAUUCCAAUUUUUUCCAACAAUUCUAAUCAAUCAGUUCCAAUUCAGCAACAACAUCAGCAACAACCGCAACAAAGAACCAACUACAACAACAACAAUAAUCACCAACAAAACUUUGAGAGGAAGAAGGUCUCCUUUGACCCUAUUCCUAUGACUUAUGCAGAGUUAUACCCAUCAUUGGUCCUCAAGAAUCUAAUCCAUCCAAGAAAUCCUCCGCAAUUUCCUGAGCCCCUACCAUGGUGGUUCAAGCCUGAUCUUCAUUGUUCUUUUCACCGGGGAGCCCCUGGUCAUGAUAUAGAGAACUGAUAUCCAUUGAAAUAUGAAGUUCAGAAGCUGAUAAAGAGUGGUAUGGUGUCCUUUGAGGACAGAGCGCCAAAUGUGAAAGCCAAUUUGUUGCCUGCUCAUGGUAACGCUUCUGUCAACAUGGUGGACGGUUGUCCAAGGAAUUUCCGAGUUUUUGAUGUGAGGCGUAUCCGAAGAUCUCUGGUGGAGAUGCAUAAUACUUUAUGUUUAAUCAAUGACUUUGAACAUGACCAUGAUGGUUGUGUCAUUUGUAGCACGAAUCCCUGUGGGUGUAUGAUUGUCAAGAGGGCUAUCCAGAAGUUGGUGGAUGAGAAUGUAGUCCAUAUUUAACAGUCGAGGGAUAUGAGAGAUGAUGUGAAUCUCAUUGUACCAGUGUUUAAGACCCCUGAGCGGGUAGUUAUUCAGUUUGAUAGUAGCAGCAACAAUAAUGUCAAUAGAUCGAUAUCGAUGUUAGUUAUACAGUUGGCGGGCCCUGUCCCCUACUCAUCCGAUAAAGUUGUGCCAUAUCAAUACAAUACCACUAUGAUUGAAAAUGGUCAAGAGGUUCCUCUACCAAUUACAGACUCAGUGGUGAAUAUUGUAGAUAUUGCAAAGGUGACCCAUAGUGGUUGUGUGUUCAGUCCAGUGUUUCCAAAAGAAGUAGAAGAUGUUUCAGUAAGUAAGAAGGCAGAGAUUUCAGUAGUGAAUCCAGUUAGUGCUCCAAUUUGUCAGUCUAGUGAAUCUAGUAAAUUGAAGGCUAACAAUGAUGAUGAGGUGUUAAGAUUAAUCAAGAGAAGUGAAUUCAAUGUUGUAGAGCAGCUACUCUAGACGCCGUCGAAGAUUUCUAUAAUGUCAUUGCUAAUGAAUUCUGAAGCGCACAGGGAGGCAUUGCAGAAAGUGUUGGAACAGGCCUAUGUUGAACAUGAUGUUACCGUGGAUCAGUUUGACCACAUAGUUGCCAACAUUACUUCUUGUAAUAAUUUGAUUUUUUAUGAUGAAGAUGUAAGAACAAAAAUUGUUCUACAACAGAUUCCAUGAUUUUGAUGAUAACAAUGGAUGAAACCAAAAAUGGCACCCUAACGAAAUGUUUCUAAGUGUGCAGGGUUCUAAGGAAAGAAGGAAGAGAUCUGAUGACGUCAUCAGAUACAUAAUCAUAUCAGAACACAAAAUCUACAGAAGAUCAGCAUCUGAAUAGAACACACUCAAAAAGUUCUAACUCUGAGCACAAACAGCGAAUACAGAAGCAUCUGAAGAAAGAAGUGCACUCUAGAAGUUCUGACUCUUAACAACGGUAUAUCAUUCCAGAAGCUCUCAGCGUCAUCUGAAGACCCAUCAGAACUCUUUAAGAUAAACAUCAGAAGCUCCGAUCAACACAGCAGGAUUCCAAGAUUCCCAGAAUCACGCAGACUUGAUAAUGGAUUUCCUAAUACAGAAAAGUAACGUUAACUUCAAAUUCAAAUGAAAGGAACUAUAUUUGGAAAGAAGUUAUUCGGGGAGACAAAUGUUUUGGCAAGAAACAUAGAAGUUAUGGCAUUAAUUCCUAUUCAAGACAUAUUAUCUGCCAUCAAUUUCAACGGUCCUUUCACUCCUAUAUAAAGGACAGCAAUCAACAUUGAGAGGCGCGCAAGCAUACACCUGAAACAUUCUCUCUCUCUCUCAAUAUUCACAAGCUUUUGCUUAGAACGUGAAACACUCUUUUGCUUACUGUUGUAAUAUUUGCUUAUCUUAGAAGCACUCUAGAUUACAUAGUCUUUUUUCUAUUGUUUUAUUUCCUCAAGUGACUCUGUGCAGUCUGUAUACUUGAGAGGACUAAGAUCUUCUUCUUAGACGUGGUUGUUAACAAUCUUCAAGAUUAGUGGAUUAAGUCCUUGUUGAAGGUGAAAUCACCUUGGCCGGGUGGACUUGGAGUAGCUUUGUGUUAUAAGCGAACCAGUAUAAAUUCCUUGUUGGUCUUUAUUUUGAAAAAGCGCUUAUUUUCCAAAACAAUUCAAACCCCCUUCUUGUUUUCUCACCUUCAAUUGGUAUCAGAGCGCUCUGUUAUUGAUUUUCAAUCAAACACUUAACAUGUAGAGAGAUCCAGAACGAGAAAAACUAUGCCCACACAAAUGAAAGAGACAGUUACAAUGCUAAGCCUCCUUUUGAUGGAGAGAAAUUCGACUACUGGAAAGAUAGAAUUGAAAGUUUCUUCUGGUUAUGAUGCUGAUCUCUGGGACAUUGUCACAGAUGGACACACACUCCAGUCUCAGAAAAUGAGUUGAAGUUCCCAGAAGUAAAUGUCAGGAGAUCAGAAGCGGUGUCUUCAAAAAUCACCACAAGGCCACAUACUUCUCAAUGCUAUAUCUUACAACGAGUAUGAAAAGUCACCAACAGAGAAACAACCACAAGACAUACUUGACUCUCUGAAGAUGACUCAUGAAGGAAACUCCAAGUCAAAGAGACAAAGGCUCUGGCGCUUAUCCAGAAAUGAAGCUUUCAAAUGGAAGAUGACGAACCAUAGAGUAAUGUUCUCUAUAUUCCAAACUCUAAUUGCAGGUCUCAAAGUUCUAGACAAAUAUACACAACGCAGACCACGUCAAAAGAUAGUCAGAAGUUUGCCAAAAAGUGGAACCCAUGUUACUCCCUGAAGCUGUCAAAGAUCUGAACAAUAUCAGUCUUGAAAAACUUGUCAGUUCCCUCAGAAGCCAUGAGAUAGAACUAGAGGAAGAUGAGCCUCAGAAAAAGAACAGUCUGUAGCAUUAAAGUCCAGAUCUGAAAGACGCAAAUCUGACAGAACCAAAGCUUUCCAGGCAAAACUGAAGACGCUGAUGACUCUGAACCAGAAGAUUCUGAUGAUGAAAAAUUGUCCCUCCUGACCAGAAGAGUAAACAACUCUGGAAAAGAGGAACACCUUCAGAACCAAGACCCAGAGGGGUCAUCAAAUCAACCUCAAAGAUUAAAACUAACAAAGAUAUUACUUGUUAUGAAUGUUAAAGAAACAGGUUCACUACAAAUGAAUGCCAAGCUAAAGAAAGACAAUCCCAGAAAGAAAGUUUCAAAAAAAUACCUUCAGGACAAAGAAAGGACUAAUGGCUACCUGGGAUGAUAGUGAAUCUGGUUCAUCAGAAUCUGACUCUGAUGAACAGGCCAAUGUGGCAUUUAUGGCUACCACAUCCAGAAGCAGCUCAGAUGAAGAAUCUGAAGAGGUUUUUCUGAACUCUCUCGAUCUGAUUUAGAAUCAUGCUUGUCAGAAACUCUUAGUUCAUAUCAGAAAUUAAAACAAAGUUUAAAAAUAUAAAGCUGUCUUGAAGCAAAUUUGAAGAAUGUGGCAAACUUGAGAUGACAAUUCUAGCACGAGAAGAUAAAAUCAGAUCUUUAACAUUAGAAAAGAGAUGGAAAAAAAAAAAUGUUUAGAAUUGGAAGAAGUUGUCUCAAGCACCACAAACCUCAAAUACAAUAAUUUAUAAAUACGAAGAAAGCUUUCAAGAAUUUCUAAAAAUGGAUAGGAAGGAGUGUUAUGGCAUCCAUGAUUUAUGGAGUCAUCAGAACAAUAAAAAGGGAAUUGGGUAUGAUCCUAAGAAGAUAAAACUUCUACUGGUGAUCAACUUAAAUUCUCCAUUUCAUAUCACUAUAUCACACACAAGAACAAAUUUGAAAAUGCUUAAAACCCAAAGUUAUAAGAAACUCUGGGAAAACUAAUCGAAAGGACCCAGAGACUCUGGGUACCAAAAAUAAGAUUGUUUAUGUUGCAGAUAUCCUAUGCAGCAAAGUUCAGACACCUCAUGGUACCUGGACUCUGGAUGCUCGCGACACCAUACGGGGAAAAGUAUGUUUCCAAAGCCUGGAACUUAAAGACGCUGGAUUCGUAAGCUUCGGAGGAGAUCAGAAGGAAGAUCAGAGGUCCGGAACUAUUCGUAAUGUACUCUUCCCUCUAUAUAUUGAUGUUCUUUUGUAGAAGGAUUAAUGCAUAAUUUUAUCCAUAAGUCAAUAGUCUGAUAACGGUUAUGACUGAUCUUUAUCAAAAAAUGUAAAGCCAUAAUCAAACAAUGGUUCAUCCUAUUCACAGGCAAGAGGAAACAAUAUUUAUUAAAAUUAAUAUUUCAGAUUUAAAAGAACAAAAUGUUAAAUGUCUGAUGUCUGUUCACGAAGAGCAAUGGGUAUGGCAUAGACGCUGGCCACAUUAGCAUGAGAAAACUAUCUCAGCUAAAUAAACUCGAGUUAGUCAAGGCCUACCUAAACUGAAGUUUUCUUCAGAUCGUCUAUGUGAAGCAUGUCAGAAAGGAAAAUUUUCAAAACAUCUUUUAAAAGGAAAACUAUUGACUACCUCUAAGCCUCUGAACUUCUCCACAUUGACCUAUUUGGUCCUGUGAAAACGCAUCAGUCAAUGGAAAGAAGUAUGGACUCAGCAUUGUUGAUGAUUACAGCGCUGGACAUGGGUGAAAUUCCUAAAGACCAAAGAAGUAGCUCACUCUGUAUUCACUAGUUUCUGCUCCAAAGUGCAAAAAAUUUGAUCUAAGAUUAUCAGAUCAGAAUGAUCUGUGGGGAAUUUGAAAUAAAUCCUUUGAGAAUUUUGACUCUAAUGGAAUAUCCCAAUGAUUCUCCUGCCUAGAACUCCACAACAAAAUGAGUUGUAGAGAGCAAGAAUAGGACACUCCAGAGAUGGCCAGAACUAUGAUCAAUGAAACUAAUGGCAAACACUUUGGGCCGAAGCUGAAAAUACAGCGUGUUCAUUCAGAAUAGAAUCUCCAUAAACCUAUUCUGGAUAAGACUCCCUAUGACUGUGUAAAGGAAGGAAACCAAACAUUUCAUAUUUCAUCCAUUUGGAUUUCUUUCUUUAUUUAAAACACUAAAAACAUCUGAACAAGUUUGAUUCCAAAGCACAGAAAUUAUUAUGUUAGGAUACUCGAACGCUCUAAGGCUACAGAGUAUACAACACAGAAACCAAAAGUGUGGAAGAAUCAAAUUCAUGUAGAUUUGACGAUAAGCUUGACCCUAAAAGUCAAAGCUAGUUGAAAAUUUUGCAGAUUUAGAAAUCACUCUUGCAGGAUUGAAGUCUCCAAACAACUUCCACUCAGAACUCUGAGGAAUUAAUCCCCAGAGAACCCAAGAAGCUAAAAGUCUAUAACGUUCUAAGAUUGAUUCUAGCACAAGACGAACCUGUCAAACCGAUCUACCUUCAGACCUCUGAAAUACUCCUCUGACUAGUGUCUCUGAUCGAGCCUACGUCCUGUGAUGACACUUCAAGUAACGACUGGGUUUCAGCCAUGCAGAAGAUUAGUCAAUUCACAAAGAAUGAUGUCUGGGUCUUGUUCCUGAGCCAGAGGCACUCACGUAUUGAACCAGUGGUAUUCAGAAACAACCUGAAUGAAAAGAGAAGUCGUCAGAAAACAAAGCUCGACUGGUAGCUCAAGUUACAAGUCAACAGAAGGAUGACUAACAAUGAACCUUUGCUCCAGUCGCAAGGUUAGAAUCUAUCUCGUCUUCUUGUUAUCUUUUGCUAUAACCACUCAUCAAAUAUAUCAAAGGAUGUCAAGAGCGCAUUCCUUGAUGGUUAUAUAUCAGAAGAAGUGUAUGUCAACCAACCUCCAGGUUUUGAAAAUCCAAAUUUUCCAAACAUGUCUUUAAACUUAAAAAUAUUUAUAUGGACUUAAACAAGCUCCCAGGCUUUGGUAUGAACGUUUAAGCAAUUUUCUUCUGGAACACAAUUUAUCAGAGGAAAGUUGACUCCACACUCUCUUAAACACUUCAACAAUGAUCUCAUGAUAUGCCAGAUAUACGUUGUUAUAUUUUUGGUCAGCUAACGCCUCUGUGUGCAAGAAUCUCUGAGUUAAUGCAGCAGAAUUGACGAAUUGAGCCUAGCAAGACUAAGUUUUCUGAGAAUUCAAAUUAAUCAAACUUCGAGAAUCACGUACGUUCAUCAAAGCAAAUACAUUAAAGAUGUUCGAAAGAAAUUUGACAUGGCUGACUGCAACUCUGCAAAAAACUCCCAUGCAUCAACCAUGCAUUCUUGAAAGGAAAAAAGCAAAAGGUUUGUCAGAACUCUAUCGAGUAUUGAUAGGCUCUCCUUCUCUAUCUAAUUGACCACCUAAUUUCUCUUUAUGUCUGUCUCUUGCCAGUCCAAUCAGAUCCUAGAGAACCCACUUAACAGCAGUAAGAAUUCUCAAUAUCUGAAAGGAACUCCUAACCUGAGCCUGAUUAUGAGAAAACAUCAGAGUAUAACUUUCGGUUACUGUGAUGCAGAUAUGCAGGAGAGCAUAUAGACUAGAACGAAAAAGCCCAUCUGGAAAUUGCCAGCUCCUAGGAAACAAUCUGAAUCCUGGCCAGCAAGAGACAGUCAACUAGCCGCUCUAUCUACUGCAGACAAGCGAAUACAUCUCAGCAUCACUAUGCACAACUAAAUGCUCUGAUGAAGAAUCAGUUAGAAGAUCUGCAAAUCUUCAGUAGUAACAUUUCUAUCUUCGUAGUAUAACACUGCUACCAUUUGUCUAAGUAAGAAUCCCAUUCACACUCCAGAGCUAAGCACAUUUGAAAUAAACAUCAUUAUUAGAGACUAUGUUCAGAAGAGAUAGAGAACAUUGAGUUCAUUGAUACAUAGAUCAUCAAUGGCAGAUAUAUUUACUAAGCCUUUACUGAAGAUAGAUUUCUUUUAUCUAUUAAAAAUCUGAACACUACAAAAUGGCCCUGAUAUAAAUUUGUGCCUCUAAAUGAAAAGGAACUCCGGAAAAAACAAACUGAGUUCUUGUCUCGAUCUACUUUCUACAAGUUAGAAAUAUCUAGUUAGAAAUCUCAUAGACCAAUCCUUUGGCAUUCUGAGACUCAAAUAACAUCAAAACCAGUGAGCACUGCGAUCUAACCUUAACUUCUAGCAGCUUCCACGAAUUCAAAGGCCAGUCGUUUGAGAUCUCCCGCCAUAUGCAUUUUACUGUUGGAAUGAGACAUUCAUUAAUGAGCCAUAUAUUUUCCCCAACGUGCUAACUUGUUCUUUGUGCUAAAGCAUUGUUGUGUUCGUUUUCUGCAUGGUUUUGUUUAGGAUUAACAUCCUCUCACACUUCACACACUUUUUCACUCUCACUCACUCUCAAAACCUAUUCUCUUUAAGCAUUUCUGCAAGCGUCAUCUUCAACCCUCUUCAUCAACAAGGAUGCUCGAACAAAACAAUUUUCAACUUGUUCUCAACAAAUGGAAUCAAGCACCACAGCAAGCACAAGCAUUCCCACUCCAACAGUUACAGGCGUAUCCAUUACUCCAGUGUACAAGGAACCCCAUGUUCUUGAUCGUGAGCCUCAUAUCAACCUGGAAACUCCCUUUGAGGGACUGGAAGUUUUAUGUGAAUCACUGGUAGACUUCAACAACAUGAAGAGAAACGGAGUAGAUCUUACUGAAGAACUUCGUCAACAAGGUUGGGAAAACUACUUUCAACGGCUCUACGGCCCUGUUUACCCAAACCUCACCAAAGAAUUCUGGAGAUUUGCUGACGCUGAUGACCAUUUCAUCGUCUCCUACGUGUUGGGGGUCAAGAUAGUGAUUACUGAAAAGUCAAUUGCUUCUUUACUGAACAUGGAGAAAACUGAAGGAAGAAGGAUCUACGACAUCAACCCCAGAUCAAGGUACAUUGCUCAGGUAAUCAAUCCCACCAUAUUCAAACUCAACACUGAAGGCAAUCCAUCAAAGAACAAAGAACUUCAUCAGAACCUCAAAGUAUGGCUCAAGAUCAUUUUGGGAACCAUUCAUCACCGCCCAACAUCAAACUCCUCUGACUACAUCAAUACAGAUCAGAAGUGUAUUCUGUAUUGCAUUCACAAGGGUUUGAAGCUCUGCCUCCCAACACUACUCUUCAGGUAUCUCAGAGACUCUGUACGGGAGACCAGAAACAACAUGAAACCCAGAACCUACAUCCCUCUGGGAAGACUUCUGUCUGAUGUUUUCAUCGAAAAUGGGCUUGUAGAUCAUCUGGAGAAGAACAAGCUUAUGGAAGAUCUGGCGAUAGAUACUGGAAGGCCUCUGAACUCCAGAAAUCUGAAGAGCAUGGGAAUUCUGAAGAAGAUUCAAUUCAAACCCACGCUGGACACCUCCUGGGACGCCUUGAAAGAUCAGAGGAAGCUGCCACAUGGUCUUGCAAGGUUCUACAAGAAUGAACCCAGAGAAGCAAUCCUUCACUAUAUGCAGCGUCUGAAGGAUGAAGGAGUUGACAUUUCUGACUUCAGACUGGACGAUAUGCUAGAUUCAGAAUCAGACUUCGUCAAGUUCAAAAGAGGUCCCUCUGAAAAGAAGUCUUCAAAGGCAAAGAAAGCAAGGCUAGGAGAAACUUCUGAAACAAGAUCUCCAGCGCCUCUGCAAGUAACUACUGGUAAGUCUGCUCCCUCUAUUCCCUCUGAACCUCCUGUGGCUUCCUCUAAUCCUCUCCCAACACCUCUAUACACAUCCUCUGAAACCCCACCUUCUAUAAUCAGAACCUCACAACCUCGACCUAAAUUUAAUCUUGCCCAUACAUCACUACCUCUAUCCGAAGCUGAAGAACUCAAUCAAACCACCUCUUCAUCUUCAAACCCAGAAUCACCCCCUACCUUAUCCUCUCCUCUGACCUAGAACCUUCUGACCCUGCUUCUCCCACUCUAGCCCACCUUUAUUCUCUAAACCAAAACACUCAAUAACCAACACAACCUCCACCUGAAGUAACUUCACCAUCCACAGAACAACCAACCCUCAUUCCAUCUGAACUCCAGCCCUCUGACCUUCAUACCUCUGAAACUAUCCCUCCAAACACUUCCGCUGAACCUGAACCUGAACCUGAGCCUCAAACACUAAACUUAAGCCCUCCAAACUCUCCACUCCAAACAUCUGAACCUGAACCUGAACAUUCCAUGCCUACCCUUGAGGAAGCCAUAAUGUUGUUCGCAAGGGCUUCAGUAUAGAAGGUCAAGUCUCUGACCAUUAACUCUGGCAUCAGUGAUGAUCCUGACUCUGUAAGGACACACUAAAACAAAGUCAUUGGCUGGAUGACUUCUGAAGCUUUCAAACUGAAGCACAUCUCUGAGCAAGUCAGAAACGACUUCAUCAAAGAUGCUGAGGCAAGACUACAGGAAAGACUUGCCAGAGAAGCUGAAGAAGAAGCAAGAAGACAAGAAGAAGAAAGAGCUCGGCAAGCAGAAAUCCAAAGGGCAAAGGAAGCUGAAGCCAAAGCUCUGGCCGAUGCUGCUGCUGCUGCUGAAGUUGAAGCACAAGCUGCUGCUGAAGCUGAAGCGAAGGCCGCUGCUGAAGCACAGAGUGCUCUGACUCAGGGGGAGUCCUCCACUGUUGUCCCUAUGGUUCUCCAGACACUUGAAGAACUUAAGAAAGACCAGAAGGAACUCAGAGCCAGAAUGGACAAACAGGAUACCGUCAACGACAACAUUCAGAACAUGCUGGCUCAACUGCUUCAGAGGAUGCCUCCUCCUCCCAACCCUUAGGCACUUAGGAUCUUUUGCUUGUUGCUUUGCUUUCCUUGUUUCUGAUGUUUAUUUGUUUUUCUUGCCAUUGUCUCUGUUGCUCUUCUAUCUGAAUAUAAUAUCUUUUUUGAUUAUUUUGUUUAAGUCUUUUUGAUUCUGACAAAAAGGGGGAGAAAUCAAUAUAGCUCUGAUGAAAAUUGCCUAAUACCCUAAGCACUCUGCAACAUGCUUUUCUUAAAAAUAAAUUCAUCUAACAUUGGACUUAAGAAAUUGCAGAUAGUAUCGAAACUUCAUUGCUUGGAAGCUCUGGUAAGAACUUCUGAACUCCCUAGCUCAUCUCAGGGGGAGCUCCUGAUCUGAUAUUUCCUGUUUCAUCUGCUAUUUAAGUUUGUUUUGUCAUCAUCAAAAAGGGGGAGAUUGUAAGAACAAAAAUUGUUCUACAACAGAUUCCAUGAUUUUGAUGAUAACAAAGGAUGAAACCAAAAAUGGCACCCUAACGAAAAGUUUCUAAGUGUGCAGGGUUCUAAGGAAAGAAGGAAGAGAUCUGAUGACGUCAUCAGAUACAGAAUCAUAUCAGAUACAAAUUAUCAGAAGAUCAGAAGCAUCUGAAGUAGAAACACGCUCAAGAAGUUCUAACUCUGAGCAAAACAGCAGAAUAUCAGAAGCAUCUGAAGAAGAAGUGCACUCUAGAAGUUCUGACUCUGAACAACGGUAUAUCAUUCCAGAAGCUCUCAGCGUCAUCUGAAGACAUCAUCAGAACUCCUUAAGAUAAACAUCAGAAGCUCCGAAUCAACACAGCAAGAUUCCAAGAUUCCCAGAGUCACGCAGACUUUGAUAAUGGAUUUCCUAAUACAGAAAGAGUAACGUUAACUUCAAAUUCAAAUGGAAAGGAACUAUAUUUGGAAAGAAGUUAUUCGGGGAGACAAAGUUGUUUUGGCAAGAAACAACAGAAGUUAUGGCAUUAAUUCCUAUUCAAGACAAAUUAUCUGCCAUCAAUUUCAACGGUCCUUUCACUCCUAUAUAAAGGACAGCAAUCAACAUUGAGAGGCGCGCAAGCAUACACUGAAACAUUCUCUCUCUCUCUCUCUAUAUUUCACAAAGCUUUUGCUUAGAACGUGAAACACUCUUUUGUUCUUACUGUUGUAAUAUUUGCUUAUCUUAGAAGCACUCUAGAUUACAUAGUCUUUUAUCUAUUGUUUUAUUUCCUCAAGUGACUCUGCGCAGUCUGUAUACUUGAGAGGACUAAGAGAUCUUUCUCUUAGACGUUGGUUGUAAACAAUCUUUCAAGAUUAGUGGAUUAAGUCCUUGUUGAAGGCGAAAUCACCUUGGCCGGGUGGACUGGAGUAGCUUUGUGUUAUAAGUGAACCAGUAUAAAUUCCUUGUGUGGUCUUUAUUUUGAAAAAGCGCUUAUUUUCCAAAACAAUUCAAACCCCCCUUUCUUGUUUUUCUCACCUUCAGAAGAGCUUCCCGAGGAAGGCAGGAAUCACAAUUUGGCACUCCAUAUUUCUAUGAAUUGCAAGGAGGAUGCUUUGUCCAAUAUGUUGGUUGACACUGGGUCAUCAUUGAAUGUGCUUCCAAAAUCAACUUUGUCAAGACUCUCUUGUCAAGGCGCCCAAAUGAGGUAUAGUGGCGUAGUUGUCAAAGCGUUUGACGGUUCUCAUAAAACCGUCAUUGGAGAAGUAUACCUUCUAGUGAAGAUAGGUCUGAGUGAUUUCUAAAUUACUUUCCAGGUAAUGGAUAUCCACCUAGCCUACAGUUGCUUAUUGGGAAGGCCAUGAUUUCACGAAUUUGGAGUUAUGACGUCUACUCUUCACCAAAAGCUAAAAUUUGUGCAAAACAGCAAGCUUGUCGUUGUUGGUGGAGAGAAGGCAUUAUUGGUGAGCCAUUUGUCAUCUUUCACGUAUGUUAAUGCUGAGGAGGAGGUUGGAACAUCGUUCCAGGCCUUAUCUAUUAUUGAUGAAUUGAAGAAAACUGGGGCACCCAUGUCUUCUUUGAAAGAUGUGUAAGAGGCUAUUCAAGUCGGCAGUAUUGAUAAGUGGGGCCGUGUUGUGGCAGUCGCCGAGAACAAAAAUAUAGUCGUGCUAGGAUUUCAACCAGGACCGUUCAAUGUCAAAGCCAAAGUUAUGCAACCAAUUUUCCGCAGUGGAGGGUUCAUUCAUGGGAAUGAUCAACACUUAGCUGCCAUUAUUGAAGACAAUGGUGAUGAAGAUGAAGCUUGCGCCAACUUUAUGACGCAUGGCCAGAUUUACAACAAUUGGGUUGUUGUUGAUGUUCCUGUUGUCAUUCAUCGUUCUAAGUAAUUUGUUUUUAGUGUUUUUAAGAAAAAUCCUUCUCCUAUGCCUAAGGGAGAAGUGAACAUUGUUGGGCAUUUUCUUUAUUGUCAUCAAUAAAAUACAAUUUUAUUCAUCCAUAUCUAUGAUGUUUAUUUUAUCUUUUGCUUUUUCUGAAAAUGGUAAUCACAAAAAAAAACAUAAAUAAAUAAUCUUUCGAUCUGCAUAAUAUUUGUUCGCACUCCACUUCUCUAAAAUCAAAUAUCAAAUCAUUAUGCAGGUUGAUUCUCAAACCCAUUGACUACAAUGAUCCUACUCCCUCGCCAAACUUCAAUUUCCCUGUGUUUGAAGAUGAGAAAGAGAUUGACGAUGAAGAAGUAUCUGAUGAGUUAUCUCGUUUACUUAAGCAUGAGGAAAAAUCCAUUUAUCCGUUUGAAGAGCAGAUUGAACUAGUCAACUUGUGUUCCGAAGAUGAUGUGAAGGAAGUCAAGAUUGGGUCUCAACUGUUUCCAAAAGUUAAGAAGGGGUUGAUUGAUCUUCUUCAAGAUUAUUCUGAUGUGUUUGUUUGGUCCUAUCAAGACAUGCCUGGUCUGGAUUAUGAGAUUGUGGAGCAUAGAUUGUCGUUGAAGCCAGAAUUCCCGUCGGUCAAGCAAAAAUUGAGAAGGACUCGUCCUGAUAUGGCAGUGAAGAUCAAAGAGGAAGUACAGAAGCAGAUUGAUGCUGGUUUUAGAGUGAUGGCAUAUGAAGAUAUGGAGAAGACCACAUUCAUUACACCCUAGGGAACAUUCUGUUAUAGAGUGAUGCCUUUCGGUCUAAAGAAUGUUGUCCAACGUACCAGAGAGCUAUGACCACACUUUUUCAUGAUAUGAUGCAUAAAGAGAUUGAAGUUUAUGUUAAUGAUAUGAUUGCCAAAUCAAGUGAUGAAGAAGAACAUGUUGAGCAUUUGUUGAAAUUAUUUCAGCGUUUGAGACAGUAUAAACUCCGCUUGAAUCCAAAUAAGUGUACUUUUGGUGUUUGUUCUGGUAAAUUGUCGGGCUUCAUUGUCAGUGAGAAGGGUAUUGAAGUUGAUCCUUCCAAGGUCAAAGCAAUACACAAGAUACCUGCGCCUAAAACUGAGAAGCAAGUCAGAGUUUAUCUCGGCCGCUUGAACUAUAUCUCAAGGUUUAUAUCACAUAUGACUGCCACAUGUGCGCCAAUUUUUAAGCUUCUUCGGAAAUAUCAGUCUUCUGAUUGGACCGAAGAUUGCCAGAAAGCUUUUGAUAGUAUAAAAGAGUAUAUGCUUGAGCCUCCGAUUCUGUCUCUGACUAUUGAAGGAAGAUCGUUAAUCAUGUAUUUGAUUGUGCUUGAUAAGAGUAUGGAUUGUGUUCUUGGUCAGCAAGAUGAAUCUGGAAAGAAAGAAUAUGCAAUUUACUACCUCAGUAAGAAGUUCACUGACCGCGAGACUCUGUAUUCUAUACUUGAAAAAAUGUGUUGCGCAUUGGCUUGGGCUGCUAAGCGUCUACGCCAGUAUAUGUUGAAUCAUACUACUUGGUUGAUAUCCAAAAUGGAUCCAAUCAAGUACAUUUUUGAGAAGCCUGCUUUAACUGGGAGAAUUUCCCGUUGGCAGAUGUUGUUAUCUGAGUAUGAUAUUGAAUACCAAUCUCAAAAAGCUAUCAAGGGUAAUGUCUUGGCUGAACAUCUAGCUCACCAAUUAAUUUAAGAUUAUCAAUCAAUGCAAUAUGAUCUUCCUGGUGAAAAGAUUUUGUACUUGAAGAUGAAAGAUUGUGAUGGACCGCUGCUUGAAGAAGGGCCAGAACCUGGUUCCCGUUGGGGCAUGGUAUUUGAUGGAGUUGUUAAUUAUUAUGGUAAUGGCAUUGGGCCAGUGAUUAUUACUCCUCAAGGCACUCAUUUUCUGUUUAUAACUAGAUUGACCUUCAAAUGUACAAACAAUAUGGGUGAGUAUGAAGCUUGCAUUAUGGGGCUUGAAGAGGCCAUUGAUCUCAGAAUUAAAUAUCUUGACGUCUACGGAGAUUCAACUUUUAUUGUGAAUCAAAUCAAAGGUGAAUGGGAGACGAAUCAACCUGGUUUAAUACCAUAUAUAGACUAUGUGAGGAGGAUUUCAACUUUCUUUACAAAGGUUGAGUUUCAUCAUAUCCCUCGAGAUGAAAAUCGGAUGACAGAUGCUCUUGGAACGUUGGCUUAUAUGAUUGUGGUGAAAUUCUGAAAUGAACUUCCUAAUUUGACUGUGAUGCGUCUUGAUAGGCCAACUCAUGUAUUUACCAAAUGUUUCCUCUAAAUUCAGAUUUAGCCGCCUGGGGAAUCCUUGAAAGAUAAGAAGACUUUGAGAAGAUUAGCUGGAAACUUCUACCUGAAUGGUGAUGUGCUUUAUAAGAGAAAUUUCGAUAUGGUUUUGCUCAGAUGCGUGGAUAGACACGAAGCAGGCCUGUUGAUGACUGAAGUCCAUGAAGGUUCCUUUGGUACUCAUUCCAAUGGACAUACUAUGGCAAAUAAGAUGUUGAGAGCAGGUUACUAUUGGCUGAUAAUGGAAUUUGAUUGUUGCAAGUUUGUGAAUAAAUGUCACAAGUGUCAAAUUUAUGCAGAUAAGAUUCAUGUUCCUCCGACAUUGUUGAAUGUCAUUUCCUCUCCAUGGCCCUUCUCCAUGUGGGGAAUUGAUAUGAUUGGUAUGAUUGACCCCAAAGCUUCGAACGGAUAUCGUUUCAUUCUAGUGGCUAUUGAUUACUUCACAAAGUGGGUUGAAGCGGUAUCUUAUGAAAAUGUUACCAAGUAAGUUAUUGUGAGGUUUAUCAAGAAUCGGAUUAUAUGCCGGUAUGGUUUGCCAAGUAAGAUCAUUACUGAUAAUGGAUCUAACUUGAAUAACAAUAUGGUGGAAAUUCUUUGCAAAGACUUCAAGAUUGCACAUAAUAAUUCUUCUCCCUAAAGACCUAAGAUGAAUGGGGGUUGUUGAAGCUGCAAAUAAGAACAUUAAGAAGAUCAUUCAGAAGAUGGUUGUGACAUAUAAAUACUGGCAUGAGAUACUCCCAUUUGCUUUGCAUGGGUAUCGUACAUCCAUCUGCACUUCAACGGGGGCAACCCCUUUCUCUCUUGUUUAUGGUAUGGAAGUUGUGCUCCCCGUGGAGGUUGAGAUCCCAUCAUUGCGUGUCUUGAAGGAAGCCAAGUUGACAGAAGCUGAAUGGUGCCAGACCAAAUAUGAUCAGUUGAAUUUGAUUGAAGAGAAGAGAUUGAUUGACAUGUGUCAUGGUCAGUUAUAUCAGCAAAGAAUGAAGAAAUAAUUUGAUAAGAAGGUCAGGCCUCGUGUGUUUAGAGAAGGUGACCUCGUGCUCAAGAAGAUUUUAUCUUUCAAACCUGAUGCUAGAGGCAAAUGGACUCCUAAUUAUGAAGGCCCAUAUGUUGUUAAGAGAGCCUUCUCAUGCGGUGAUUUGAUUCUUACAACUAUAGGUGGUGAAUAGUUCAUGUGUCCUAUGAACGUCGAUGCAGUCAAGAAAUACUUUGCCUAAAAAGAAAAAGAACAACUUGCUAAGUUGAAAACCCAAAAGGGCGGCUUAGGCAAAAAUGAGCGUCUCAGUGGAUUGAAAACCCGAAAGGGCGAUCCAAGCAAAAAUUAGAGACAUAAAAUAGAAAAUUUACUCCGGUAGAUUGAGUAUCCACCUUGGGACAAUCUAGGCAAAAUUUAGGGAUUAUGGCAAGUAACUGCACCCGACCGGUUUUGAGUAAGUCAUUUGGUUUUGAUUCAUCAUUCUCAACCAAAGACAAGCACAAUGGAUGUUAAAGUUGGUAGGGAGAGUAGUGAUCAUUGUAUUCAAUGUAGCCCUUUUCCAUGUAAAUUAUCAUUUUAAAACUUUGUAAAGAUCUGUGGAGUCUCGUCAUUUACGGACUACCAUUCUAUUAAAUAAAGUUAAGCUUUUAUCCAAUUAUUUAUAUUCUUAUUUACUUUUGCUAAAUAAAAUUUAAUUUUUAUGAUGAUAAUUUUGAAAUAAAUUAGUGAAUAAUAAUUAUUUUUCUUAAAAUAAUAAAAAUAAUCACUUUAAGAAUAAUCGAUUUUAGUAAGGAAUGUCAACAACAAUCUAAGAAUAGGUAAGUCUUGAAGAGUGAAGCAUUGUUGGUCUUCCCCAAGCAGUUGGUUUGGUAACUAUUUUCCUCCCCAACAACUCGUCAUUUAUCCCCAGCUUGGCUGAUGAGUUUCUCCAUGAAUAUUUCAUCAUCCUCAGUAGAGACGGUGGGUCUCAUCUCCAGUUGAGCUGAUGAUCGGUCCCCUUUGCAAAUUCGCAUUCCCCAGCUGAGGUGCUCAUGUUUUGUAUCCCCCAAUUUGUGAUUUAUGAUUGGAGCCUGGAGAAUCGAAACCUUUAUUUGGUUUCCAUUUGCCUUUAUUUGUGGCAUAACUUCGGCAAUUUCUCCUUUUGUGAAUCAGACCUGGUUAUCUUUGCCUUGGAAUUGGUUUAUUUCACAAUUUCCAAGAAGAAUUCGAUGAUUAUUGAGGAAUGCAAUGAUCUUGGUCAUAGCAUCCCCAUCAAUUUAAUUAUAUCCUCAUACAUAAUUUUAUCUCUUGUAUUCCCCGACAGAGUUCAUCUUCUGAUAGAAGUUCCCUCUUUCCCGGCAUUGUUUGAUUCAGCGCAGUAUUUGAUUUAGUCCCCUGUAUGGUUGUCUCCCAUUUUCUAUGGUGUUGACCUAAAAUUCCCUAUAGUGUUGACAAUUUGGAUCCUUAACAUAUCCUCUCUCUAUCCUCGGCAUAUUUGGUUGAUCAUCCUUCAGCAGUGCUCUCUCCCUGUAAAGUUUGUCGUGAUUGAUUGGAAGCAAGUUCUCCAUGUCUUUCCCCAUCCAGAGUUGAUUUAUUCAGAGUUAGAUGAUUUUUUUUCAUCCCUAGCAUUUUCUCUAGUUGGUGUUUCCAUCUUGUUGAGAUUAUUCGAGUGUUUUAGUGAUGAUUCAAAUCUUUGUUAUUUGUAUCCUUUGUGUUGUUUUGUCAGCAUAACCAUAAUAAUAAACAUGCAUAUUCAUGCAUAAAACACAACAUCAGAUAUAUUUCAUUAUGCAUUUUAUCGCAUUUGAUUUUUUUUUCUUCUAAUCCCCUAAUUCGGUAAUAUUGUCUACCCGUGUAGGUUUGGUGUGUUUGUCUUCCUUCAAUUGUAGAGUGUCAGCCACUUAAGCAGAAAGGGUUUAACCUUUCUUAUUCCCCACUGAGUUAUUUCCUUGUGGAUGAUUAUUAUUUCAGUUUCCUCCUCAGUUAAUUAUCUAGAUGGAACCACUCCCCUUGAGUUAUAUCCUCAUUGGGUUGAGUCUUUGUUUGUCUGUUUCUUUCUAGUUAUUACCUAGAUAGAUAUUUCGCUCCCCCUGAGAGUCUAUUACCCAGUAACUGAUAAUAUUCUUCUCAAUUUUCGAGUACAUUACUUUUGCCCAAUACCCGGUAAAAUGUAAUCUACUUCUUUUGGUUUCCCCAGCGGAUUCGUUUUCAUGUCUCCCCAAGUAGUCUAUCCUUUAUAUGUUCAUCUUAAUCGGAGACAAAUAUUCUUCCUUCUUGGUUUUCUACCCAAUAAAAAGGUAGUUGUAAUCCCUAUUUUAUUCCCCAUAGAGUCUAUCCUUGAUAUGUUGACUUUGACCGGUGGCGGGUUUUCUCUUCUUUUUGGUAUUCUACCCAGUAACUGGUAGUCAUAAUUCCUACUUUCCCCUACUGAGUCUAUCCUUGAUAUGUUCACUUUGAUUAGUGACGAAUUUUCUAUCCUCUUUGGUCUUCUACCCAAUAGCCGAUAGUUGUAAUUCCUAUUUCUCCCCGACAGUUUAUCCUUGAUAUGUUUACCCUAACCGAUAAUAAAUAUUCUUCCUCAUUCCCCAUGUGGUUUAUCCUUGAUAUGUUCAUCCUAACCGAUGACAAAUAUUAUUCUUUUGAGUAUAUCCUUGAUAUGUUCACUUUAAACCAGUGGUGGAUACUCUCUCCUUGGUUUUCUUCCCAGUAACCGAUAGUUGUAAAUCAUAUUUGAUUUCUCUCCCCAAUAGGUUAUUCUUACCUGGUUGAUCGGUAAUGAAUACACCUCUUUUUCUCAGCGAGUCAUCCUUUAUAUGUUUAUCCUAACCGGUAACGAAUGUCCCUCUAUCAAAGUGUAUUAUCUUCCUACCCAGUAACCGGUGAUAGAUAAUGUAUCUCUUUUACUCUUGUGUUGAAGUUAAUUCCUCCCUAAUUGAGUUUGAGUGUGUAUUUAUUCAGUGAAAUCUCCAUCCCCUGUUUGAUUUGAAUAUUUCAGUUUUGUUCUGAUCUAUUCAUAUCCCCUGCAUAUUUUCCCUUAUCCCCAUACCGAGUCCUUCCAUUGAUUUAUUUUUGUGAAAAACCCCUCGUGUCUCCAGCAGUUUUCAAGUCGUAGUCUGACCUAUGCAUAGCUUGUUAUCCCCCCAGAGUCUCUGUCUCCUUAAGGAGCUUUCCUUAUGGAAUGUGUUAUGCUUCUGUGGACUUUCAGUCUCUCUGGAUUCUUUUUCUUUAUGGCAAUAUAUUCCCCACAAAGAUUAUUUUUACAUACAUAUCAUAUGCAUCAUGAGGUCUCUUAGGGACCAAAAUUUGUUUCUAGAUGUUGUUAUUUAAGUUCAUUCUACUAAGUUGAUACAAAUAUUUUAACCUUCACAUCCCCAGCUAGAAUCUCUUUAAAUAGGGGCAGCUGUAAGACACCAAUUUUGACCCUAAGAUCCCUCAUGUUAUCUUAUCAUAUGCAUUGGAUUUGUGAUCACACCUUGGCAUCCUUCUUACCCCUCAUCCAUUAGGGUUUACAUUGGGAGAGACCACCAAGCACAUUUUAUUGUAUCAUACUUUGUGUUUCAUUAUUUACUAACCAAAAUACCAAAAAUAUGUCUAUGUAUAGCUUUGUUUCUUUUGUAGGUUGUGUGUGCAUCCACCAAUGCUUCAUCAAGCUCACAAUUAGGGUUUGAGACCCUCAGUGCAAGUAGAUUAAUAAAGAGAUGGUUCACAUUGUUUCUAGACAUCAUAUAUGGGUUCCUAUAAUCUUCACUUAUCAUUUUGAUCAAGAAAUCAUCAAGAUUUUGAAGCUUGUUUGCCUUGGAAGCCCUAAAUCAUCUGGGUAUCUUGUGUGACUUCCUAAGCAAUUUUCUUCAUCCUCUGAUCAAAUAUUUCAAAGGAUACUUCAUAUUACAUCAUCUUAUGCAUAUAUGAUCCUCCAUGAUCUCUAUAGAUCAAGAGAACUUCAAGUUUGCAAGUUGGUUCAAGGUGGUUGACCAAAGAAAGUCAACUAGUCAAAACUGGGGUUCCCUAGACCCUAUCUCCUACAAUAAUUUUCAUAUGAAAAUUAUUCCAAGAGUAACGUUACUCCUUAUUACAUUCAAAACAACUUUCAUGUUGAGGUCAAGAUCUAUUUUUUCUUGGAAAGUCAUUUUUUAUGGUGAAAUAUUAUAGGUCAUUUUGUCGGUGCACUAAUUAGGAGAUCAACUUCCAAGGAACACAACUUGCUCAAUAUUUAUGAGAUUAAAGACAUCCAAGUUUCAUGAUCAAUUUCAAGAUGUCCUCUCCAACUUUGAUUCUAUGAUAAACAUAAAAUUAAACUUGAAAGGGCAUGUUCCAAGAGGAAACGUUAUAGGUCAUUUUGAGCCAUCAUCAUUGAACAAGCAAUUUUCCUCAACUUCUGAAAUGCAUAACUCCCUCAUGCCAAAUCCAAAUGAUGCCAAAUUUGUGAAAAAAUUGAAGGCGUAUGAAAUAUCUACAACUUUAAUGAAGGAACGUUUUCCAUUUGAAGCUCAUAGCAAAAGUUAUUCAAGGUUGAAGAAGUGGUCAUUUGACUUUGUACUUAGAAAAUUUUCAACUAUGUUUGAUUUCUCAAACUUCCACCUCAAAAUUCAUCAUGAUUCAAGCUUCAAAUGGAAAAGUUUUCAACAUUAAAGUUGUUCCCCUUGAUCUCUCCUUCCCAAAAAUUCCAAAAUCGCUUCAUUUGGACAAGGUUUGAAUGACUUGUGCAUGCUCUUCAUGGUUCUAUUUGGAUGAAUCUCAUGACUGUUGGUGUAAGCCCUAGAGGCCAAUACUUUUGGUACUUGUAUCGAAUUAUUUAUUAAUAAUAAAAGGCUUUUUAUUUAUUAUGUUUGUUUAAUAAAUUCCCUAGAAUAUCUAGUCCGUUUAAUGUAUCAAGUGUGACUUAAUCAUGAGAUCACAUUAAACAUAAGGACAUUAUUCUUAAAGUAUCCGUAGUCGAGCUUUAUUGUGAAGUGGGAUAACAUUAAGGCAUUAAGACUAUUAUGUAUAUAGACUGAUGAUCACAUAUCAUGGAUCAUGGAUAAGGAGUUAUCAAGUCUUAAAUAUAGGUAUGAAUAUUAAGAGUAUAUAAAUAUGACCUAACUGGGCGAUACUCUUAUGAUAUAUCUUAGUUAUGCAAAGUGUCAUAAGUUAUUCGCAUGGUGAUAAUGGUGUAUACCACCCUUCGACCUGAAACCACUAUGGACCUUAGAUGUAGAGUCGAGUGCCUUAUUGCUGAUCAAACAUUGUCCGUAAUUAGAUGACCAUAAAGACAGUUGAUGGAUACUCCACGAAGCAUGCUAAGGGACAUGAGUGACCUAGAUGGAAUUUUCCCAUCAUGUGUAACAGGAUAAAUGUCUGUGGGCCCAAUAUUGAACUGGACAAGGAUGACACGGUUUAUGCCUUGUGUUCAAUAUAGACAUAAGGGCAAAAGGGUAAUUGUACACAUAAGUAUUAUCACAAAAGGAAUUGCCAGAUCACAUGACAUUUUCGUGUCUUGGGUAGCAGUGAUGUGUUGCUAGAUACCGCUCACUGUUUAUUAUGUUAAAUACAUGAUUUAAUAUAAUUGCCAAUACCGCGAAAACUUACAAGGUCACACACAAAAGGACGGAUUGAUGAGAAAUAGAGUAACUAAGGAACACCGUAAGGUACGGUGCACUUAAGUGAAUUGUAGAACAUCGUAAGGUACGGUGUAGUUAAGUAGAAUACGAAAUAUGGUAAGAUACCAUGCGCUUAAGUGAUUUUGGAAUAUAAUAAGAUAUGGGCCACAUACACUUAAGUAGGCCUUUUAGCUUGCGGCCCACACAAGUGGUUCCAUAAAUAGAACCCUUGUGCAGAAGCAUUUGUGCAGUUACAAUUUCGUUUCUCUCUCUCUCACUCACUCAAAGCCUUCAUUCGUAGCAGCUAGCACUGAGAUUGAAGGAAUCCGUUCGUCUGGACUGAGUAGAGGCGUUGUCAUCGUUCAACGUUCGUGAUCGCUCCGUAGAUCUGAAUCAAAGGUUUCAAUCAUCACAAGAGGUAACCAUUUUAUCACUGAUCAUGCCCAUUUGUAAGGAUCACUAAAGGAGAUUUUUUUAAAAUUCCGCUGCAUUUUGGAUCGCUCUUCUCCUUCAAUGACCACUUCCCAAUUUCAUAUGCAUGGCUUCAUGUUACACUUUCAACAUCACUCAUGAUCAUCUUUGGACCUUUUGACAUCAUUUUAUGGGCCUAUCACACACCCAUGCAAGCAUGCACAUGAGAAUUAUUAUUUUUGGCAUUUGAAUGGAAGUGUGUGGAAAUCAAUUGCCAAGUCUAUAAAUACAUUGCCUCAUGCUCAGAAUUAUGGACACCUUUCCCAAGCUUUGCUUCUGCAACCUUCCUGUCACCUUUAGAGGAUAAACUUGAAGGUUUUUAAUUGAAAAUCGAGUUUCAAUUGCACUUCUGUUUUGAAGUUGAAACUCCAAGGAUCCAAGCCAUUCGAGCUCUCAAUUCACCUCCUGCAAUCAAGUGGAAGCAAGCCCAAGCAAAUUGAGAUCCAGAUCGAGCCUCAUCACUGCAUAUAGAAGGUGAAAUUUACCAAAUAUUCUCUCUUCGAUUCUCUCUCAAUUCUUCAUCAUUCUCUUUGAUUUUUGAUUGGCUGAAGUCCUACCAAUGUAGGCAACAAGAUUGAGUUGCUUUGAGGUCAAAUCGAAGCAACUCAGAUCAUGAACCUCAAAUUUUCAAAUCCAUGUAUCUUUCAAUAUACUUGGAAUUGGAAGAAAUGGAGAUCAGAUUCGUGCUCCUGAGCAUUUUUCCUUUAAAAACAUGUACUCACUUUUCAUUUUUCAUUUGGUGUAGGGUGGACCAGUCCGGUGAGAUCCACCAGAAAAGAUGACCAGAGCUAGAGCUCCGGUGGUGUGUUGGCAUGACCUGAACCAUCUGAUCUCACAUCCACGUUUUAAUCCUGACCCUUGUUUUGUUUGACUCAUGUUACCACGCGUUUGACUCGGGUGUUUGGUGCACUCUAGUGCGUGGCCAUCAGAUUUACCACCUCAUUUGAUGAGGGCGAUCUGAUGGCCCUUAUUUUUUUGAAUUUCUUUUUAUUUUUUGAUUUUUCAUUUAAUCCAUUUAUUUUGUUUAAUUCAUAUUAAUUUCAUUUUUAAUCCAAAAAAUAUAUGGGACUUUCACCAAAAAUCUUUAAAUAUUUUUCUCAUCCAUAUUCUAAAUUAAAAUUAUUUUUUGGAUUAAUUUUGAUAUUUUUCAUGAAUUAAAUGUUUUUAUGCAUAUUUUUAAUUGUUUAAAAAUACUUCUGACUUUUUAAAAACUGUGAAAUUUUUUGUCUAAGGUCCUUUGACCUUGUUUGACCUAGGAUAAAUCCCUUGGUCAUUUAUUUGGUGUUUUGAAGGGAUUUUAGGUUUUGACCAAAUUUAAAUGCAUUUUUAUCCAUUUUUUAAUUGAUUUUUAAUUGAUUAAAUGUAUAAAAAAUUUGUUGCGUCAUUUUUAUGGUCUUGUGUUGUUUUACUUUCUGUUUGGGUCUUGGUCACGGUUAAUUUGACUUUUGUUGGAUCAAAACCAUUGGAUUUAGGGGAUUGAUGAAAUGUACAUUUCAUCUCCCAAAAUGAAUGGAUUGUUUUGAUUUGAUGAAAUUCCUCCCAUGAUCAAUUUGUGUUUCUAUCUUCCCCUCCCUCUUCAUCUUCAUCCCUAUUCUUUCUCGUUCCCUCAUUUGACAAGUGAAAUCUCUAAUGUCAAAAUGCUAAUUGAUUCAUCAAUGACCUUGUGUCAGAUAAAUCAAUAUAAGUAUGACUGAGAUAGGUCUUUCCCAUUUCCUUUUAGUGUGUGGUAUGUUUUAGGAGUUUGGUUCUUUGUGCCAAAUCUCUGACAUGCAUUAACACUUAUAGUUUUAUUAUCCGGCCUCAGAUAUUUGUAACUUCUAGAUAAGUCUAAUUACGAUUGCUUAGCAUAGAUCUAAAUUUGAUCCUCAAGGUAUGGCAUUCUAGUAAGUGAGAUUGUAAGUCUCCCAUUCUUCAUGGAAUUGUGUGGAGACUUGACAUUUUUUCCUUUCAUGGGAGCUAGUGGCAUACUUGUUGAAUUAUCCAAGUUGGAGCCCUUCUCAUGGAAGAUGUCUUGAUUUAAGGAUUCAUACUUCUGAUUGAAUGGUUGAGUGUUUUAUAAAGAAUGACUUAAUCAAUUCAAAAUCAUCACUAACACUUGACUAACUUUUGAAUAACAUUUGACUAACUCUUGUUAAUAUUGCUUUUCUUUCAAGUCAUUUACUAUUAUGCAAUUUAAAUUUCAGUCAUUUAUCAUUCAUUGCCAUUUACAUUUCAUAUAACCUGUUUAUGUUUAUGUUUAUGUCCUUUUCACUUUACUCAUUUGAGCCAUAUCUUGUGAUCGUAUAUUUUGUUUGUGGGUUUUGAUUUUGUUUGUGGUCUUAGGACCUUAAAAUACCUAAUAACAACAAAACCCCUAAAAAACAUUUGGUGGACUAUUGAACUUGAUCUGAACUUUUGGAUUUAGGAUUAGGCAACAUUCCCUGUGCUAAAAGGACUUGGCCAAUGCCAACAUCUUGAUACUGAGAUAUUUUAAGUUUUGCCUUCAUCUGAUACAAGCCUUGAGAGCUCCUUGGGUUCAUCUGUUACUCUGUCUUUGUGCUUAAUUGUUGUUUUGAUCUUGUGUCUGAUGUUUUGUUCUAAGUUGAUCAAGGAAUUUUUCAUCUGGUACAUUGAAAGACAAUGAAGACUGCUAGCUAUUGGAAUGUUUGCUUGGAUGUGGCCACCUUUAUUUGAUGCCCCUGAUCUUUAUGAUGUCUGGAUAUUGCUCAUUCCUUAUGCUUAUUGCUUAAUCAAAGUCCAAGGGAAAAUGGGUUUCUAUAUGACAUCCUUGUCUGUUGGAUUGCAUCCCAUUGGUCAGAUCUUUUCAACUCUUAACUUUGAAUUUUUGCUUUGUGUAGUCUCUUCAUCUUCUCCCACUUCUUAAAUUUCAAAAUCUCUCCCUCUUUUCAAAACCUUUCUUUACUUGUGAUUUCAAAUUUAGACAUGUCUUAAUGGUUAGAAACUUUGGCCUUAUGCCAUUGAAUUUUCAAACUUUUUCUUAAAUCAAAUUUAUAAAUAAACUUAACCAUAUUGACUUGAAUUUAAAAAGACUAAAAGAACUAACAACCUCAUUCAAAUUUUUGGCCCAUUGUGCAUUUUUUAUUAACUUUUGCUAAAAGCAAUUCACCAACUUAUUUGAAAAUUUUAUCACGACCUACGAGGUUUUGAUCCCUCAUUUUUAUGUUGGUACGUAGGCACAAGGCCGAAGGUCUUAUCAAACACAAAAAUAUAAUAUAUGCAUUCUUUUCUCAUCCCCACACUCUAUUUUUAUCAAACAUAUUUUAUACCAAAAACACAUGCACACAUAAAAAAGGGCUCCCUAUGAGUACCUAGGACACUUUGGGUGCUAACACCUUCCCUCUGUGUAACCAACCCCCUUACCUGUAAUCUCUGGCAUUUUAUUAGUUUUGAUUUGGAAAACUUCUUAAUCUUUGGCGUUUGUUUUGUACAUUUCCCUUUUCCUUUGGAAACAAUAAAAGUGCGGUGGCGUCUCUGGUUUUAUUGACGUUAAGCUUAUCCAUAGAUUGAUGGUCAUGAAUUUACCACUACAGUUAGUAAACUCUUUAUUCUGUUGGUUUGGGAUGCAUAAAGUUCUCCAAUAGUUAGUUUGACAUUUGAUUUUCUAGGUGCUUGGGGAGCAGCGGGGGCUCCUUUAUGAUAACCCGGAGGAACUGCAGGUGUUGGGUUUGGAGCAAAUAAAGCAUUGUUGCUCUUGUAGGAAAAAUUAGGAUGGUUUCUCCAAUCAGGGUUAUAGGUGCUUGAGUAUGGGUUCCCUUGGGCAUAAUUUACUUGGUCAGUUGGAAUAACAGCCAAUAAAUGACAUUCAUCAGUGUUGUGCCCAGGUGUUCCACAUAAUUCGCAGUUGGGUGUCACAACAGUUACGGUAGUUGUUGGAGUUACGGUCAAACUUUCAAUCUUUUGGGUAAGUGCGUCCACUUUAGCAUUGACACGGUCUAUGCCAUUAACUUCAUACAUUUCUCUCUUUAGUGGCAGUUUAUCUGUAGGUGUUCGCUCACCUUCCCAUUGGAAGUGAUUUUGUACGAUAUUUUUAAUAAGUUGAUAGGCUUCUUCGUAAGGUUUAUCCAUUAGAGCACCACCAGCGGUAACGUCUAAAUUCAGCUUAGUGUUAUACAAUAUAGCAUUGUAGGAAGUAUGGAUAAUUAGCCACUGCUCAAUUCCGUGAUGGGGAUAAAGCCUCAGUAUAUCCUUGUAUCUCUCCCACGCUUCGAUAAGAGAUUCAUCGUCUUUCUACCUAAAUUCCUUGAUUUGGGCUCUUAGCGUAGCAGUUUUGCUAGGUGGGAAAUAUUGUGCUAAGAAGACUUUCUUCAACUUGUCCCGCGUAGUGAUAGAGUUGGAUAGUAAAGACUGGAGCCAAGCUCUUGCUCCAUCUCUUAAAGAAAAAGGAAAGAGACAUAGUCUUAUGGCUUCGGGAUUAACACCAUUUGCUUUCAUUGUGUCUGCAUAUUGUACAAACACUGAUAAAUGAAGGUUCGGAUCAUUCGUAGGGCUACCAGAAAAUUGGUUUUGUUGUACGACUUGUAAAAGCGAAGGUUUUAACUCGAAAUUGUUUCGGUCGAUUGUAGGGGCAAAUAUGUUAUUGUGUGGCUCUUCUUGUGAUGGAGCAGCAUAGUCUCGAAGUGGAAGGUUCAGAUUUUCGGCCAUAAUCGGUUCUGGAAUAUCCGAGUCAUGGAUGUUGUAUUUCAAACGAAACUCUUUGAUUCGGUGUAUUAGUAUUAUAUAACGCUCUACUUCUUCAAUCAGAUGUUCCAACACUUCGCCUUGUGAGCGAGUGUUUGGCAUACAACCGACAAAUAAACGGUUGCCUUAGUCUAUACGGUGCAAUGACGGAGUCACACUAUUGACUAAAUUAGUCCCCGACAACGGCGCCAAAAAUUUGAUCGCGACUUUAUGAGUCUAUCGGAUUAUCUAACUGCAAGUAUACAGUCUAUCACGUAGUUUUAAAAGAUAUCGAAUCCACAAGGACUAAUAAUCAAUCUAGUAUUAUCAAUUGAUGCAAUAUAAAGGUAAAGCUAUUAAUUACUUAAUUCAUACGUAAUUAAAAACUAGAAUUGGAAUAGGAUUUAGGAAAAUAUCAAGAAAAGGAGGCCGAAAUAUGGAUUUCGUGCACCUCAUGGACUCUGUAACUCAUUAGCGUUUGUUUUAUGUUAAGUUUCUUUUAGUAGGAACUACCAGUUUAUAAA